UGCCAAACACACAGAUGCCAAGAUCUAUCAGUGAACUUCUGCAUCCUGGUUUGUGUUGAGCUCUUUAGAAUCUUAGAUAUCUCUUCUACCUGCCAUUUUACUAAAAUAUGUUCCACCACAUAUUUAUCAGUUAACCACUGUUAUUACAUGAGUGACACAUAUUCACAAAUCGGCUGAUCACUUAUUUUCCAUUAUGACGUUGAUAUAUAAUUUGCAGACUCCACAAAUGAAGAAAAGAGCACAAAUGACGUUGGCAAACCUGAAACUUUCCCAUUGGGCAAUAAACAUUACUCCAGUCAAAAACAUUAUGGAAGAGGCAAACCUGAAACUUUCCCAUUGGGCAAUAAACAUUACUCCAGUCAAAGACAUUAUGGAAGAGGCAAACCUGAAACUUUCCCAUUGGGCAAUAAACAUUACUCCAGUCAAAGACAUUAUGGAAGAGGCAAACCUGAAACUUUCCCAUUGGGCAAUAAACAUUACUCCAGUCAAAAACAUUAUGGAAGAGGCAAACCUGAAACUUUCCCAUUGGGCAAUCAGCAUUACUCCAGUCAAAAAAAGUAUGGAAGAGGUGCUUCUCCAUCCGACAAUCAACCACCAAUUCCAUAGAAAUUCAAACACGGCUACUUUCUUGCCACGAGAAAGCGCUCAAUCGAUCCCCUUCUCCUCUAACAAACUACCAGAAAUUUUCAACCAUUUUUCAGUGAAGCCAACAUCUGAGGAAGCCAAAACAAUUAAGCAAACAAUCGAAGAGUGUGAAGCUCCAGACCUUAAGGGAGAGGAAAUAUAUUGCGCCACAUCUUUAGAAUCAAUGGUUGAUUUUAGCACUUCGAAGCUUGGAACAAGAAACGUUGAAGCAAUCUCGACGGAGGUAUUGGAAAAAGGAGCCACCAUGUCCAUCCAAAACUAUACAACAAUGCCGGGACUGAAGAAGUUGGCAGGUGACAAAGUCGUUGUGUGUCAUAAGCAGAACUAUCCCUAUGCUGUGUUUUUCUGCCAUGCAAUAAAACAUACAGCAGCUUAUGCUCUCUCCCUGAAAGGCGAUGAUGGGGAGAAGGUUAAAGCAGUAACCAUCUGCCAUCUAGACACAUCAGAAUGGGACCCAGAGCAUAUGUCCUUCAAAAUCGUCAACGUUAAGCCCGGAACCAUUCCCAUCUGCCAUUUCAUUUCCACUGAUGCUAUUGCCUGGGUUCCGAACCACAAAUCUGCAUGAUCAUCACUUAGCACUAGUACUGUGCGUAUAAUAUGCCUGUAUAAUUAUCUCCCUACUUAUUUCUGCCUGUUCAUCAUGUGGUGUAAGAUAUAUGUUGAGAUGAAGUUUUUGGGAUUAGUGGUCGAAAUUAACCCGAUCAUGUUUUCUCUUGUAACUAUAUAGACUUCAACUUGUACUCAUAAUAAAGCAUGCUAUAUUUAUGAAGAGAUAUUAAUCUUCAGGCAAAUAGAUAUUAUGAAAACAUAUAUAGCAAUUUAUCCAGAAGAAAUAUUAUGAAAUGAAAAGAAUAAAAAGUAAAAAAACAGAAGGAAAGGAAUUCGCACCUGCUAUGUAUGAAAGGACCAAGAUUGUUUUCCCUUUGGUUAAUGACUAGAAAAGCUCACUUGCAGAUUGCUUUCUCUGACCGUAGAUGCAACAGAAAUUUUCUCUUAAUAAUAGCACAAUGAUCGGGUAAUUGUAAGAACAAGUUGAUUUAAAAUUCCUUGACCCAAAAAAAAAAAAAAAAUCAUUUCAAAUUCAGGUCAACCCAUAGAUUUCUUGCCUUUUUCUUCUUCAUCACGUUGGGCUUGUCUUCUUCUUGAGGAUUGUAUAGGCCCAGGAAAUGCUUUGAGGUAGUUUUUGGCCUUGGAAGUUGGGACCCAACCCAACUUCACAAAAAGAAAACAGAUUUGCCAAAAAUCAAAUUUCAAGUCUCUCCUCAGAUCACUAAUACAGAUCAAAUUUUGGAUUUGAUGAACUAAAGUGGUUUUACUUUCUCUGUCAGUGUUUGAUGACUUAAUUUGUUAUUUACUUCUUUUUUUUUUUUUACUUGAUCUUUGUAGGGGUUUUUUUCUUCCGGUAACUUAAACGGGCUGGGCUGCCGUAAAGGGUAGAUUGAUGAAAUUGUCUCCUUUGUCUGAGUUCGAAAAUCAAGCCCCAAAAGCGCUUCGAAAGGGCAGUAGAGCCUUAGGAAGCGUUCUAGUCAUCUUCACCAACUAAAACAACAGCAACUUACAGAUGAUUUCUUAAGGCUUACAGAUAAAUUUUCUAGCUUGGCAUGAGAGGCUUGUGACAUGGAAGCAAAAUCAGCAUGAGUUUAGCACCAAAGAGGAAAAUAUGGCUUCCUAGGGAGAAAUGGGAGUGUUUAAGGUGAGGAAGAAGAGGUUUGCAGGCUGAUUUGGCUGAGGAGAGAGAAAGAAAGAACAAUGUUCUUCCAGUAGCUUGACAAAGCUUCUGACAGAUGUGAAAGUCGUCUGCCAUAAGAGGAAAAUGAAGAAGAAUGGUGAAUAGUGCAUGAAAUUGCUGGGUUUUUGCAGGUAAGAGAGAAAGCUUGCUCUCUGAAUUUGAGUUGGUUUUUGGUUGGGUAGAAGAGGCCCCCUUUUAUAGCUGCGGGAAACCAUCUUUUUUCAAGAAACCCUAAUGGUUUCUAUCCAUUUUGGCCAAGCUUUUCCCUUCAUUUCUCUUCUCCUCCCUUGACUUUUCCUAUCUUGGUGAAAUUUCCUCUGCCUAUUUGCACAAAAUUAGAGAUUUUGAGGAGCUCAAGACCCCUUUCCCGCAGCUGCCUCAGUGGAGAAUCCCCAUUUUCAGUCAUCUUUCUUCCUUCUUUUCUCCCAUCUUCCAAGGUUAGGUCUGAUGAGGGAAAGAAAUGGGUAUGCACACUGGUUUGAAGGGUAUUUUUGCUUGAAACUUGUUCUCUCCCAUGUGCUGGAGCUUCCCAGCAACUUACACACAUGGAUAUUUUGGCUUUCAUCGUGGCUUUUGUUUUCAGCUAGGUGCUGGAGAUUUCGCAGAUAUUUUCAUGAGUUGCUUGGGCCUUCUAGGACAAUAGGUUGGUUUAUCAAGUGAAUGGGCUAACUUCAUCAAUUGUUGGGCUAUUUUGGUUGAGUUAAUGGACUAUUUUGGUUGAAGUAAUGGGCUAUUUUGGUUGAAUUAAUGGGCUAUUUUUCUCUCUUUGUGCUCACCCACAUAUUUGGGCCUAAGAAAUGGGCUUGAGUUCCGGGGCUCCCAAGCAACCCCGGGACUUCCAUUUCUCGGCCCAUCAAUGGGCCUCAUAUCAACUUAUUACCAUCCAUAUCACAACCCACUCAAGCAAGCCCUGGGCAUCUUGCGUGGCUUGGGCCCACUUAAGCUUGUAGCGUGACGUGUUGCUUAUUUGCUUGGCAUGGCAUGUGUGCAAGCGCAUAUGACGAACUUUAGCGUGCCCAAAUUGGGUUUAUUCUCGGUAAGGUAUCGCAUUGGGCCGAGAAUUUAAUUGGGCAGAACUGUGGAUUUUUGGGCCUCAACAAUCUUAUAUAUAUUGGUUUUCUUUUUUUCCUUAAUAUUCACCACCUUUCUGUUGCAUAAGUAUUUCAGUCUUAACGGGUUUCCAUCUACCACUCAUCUUUGCUCUUUUAAGUGUAAGCUUUUUUUUUUUUUUUUUAAGCACAAGAUUAGAGGGGAGGGGGAUUUCUCAAUGUAAGCUUUGCAGUUUCAUAAUUAAUAUUUCCAAUAUCUCACUGUUAGUAAAAUAUGGAACAGGAAAAGUAUGAAUAAAAUACACACAUGUUUUAUUUAGCAAAAUUUUGACAAGAUACAACUGAAAAGUUUGGCCACUAUAUAAUAUUUUGAUAUAAUUUCUACACUUCUUCUCAAAAGAUUAGAUCACUUCACAUCUUGUGUAUGUGAAAACUAAUGUAAAAAGUUGAAACUUUAUCGUAAAACCUCGACAAAAAUGAGCUCUACUAGAAAAUGUUCAAUUUGGAUUCGUUGAUUUAAAUGGCAAUUUGACACUUGAUAGAAAUUUUUACAUACAUGUGUUAGUGUUUGAUCACUUCACAUGUUACUUACUAUAUUUAUUCCACUCAAGUUAGGUAAAUAUUAUUAUCAAACAUUUCAAUUAAUUUGUGAUUUUUUUAUUAUUUAAUCAAUUAUGAAUUAAUGGAUUCUUCUUGUUGUUUUGAAGACCAAUAAAAAAAAAAGGGUAAGGAUGGCUUAUAACUCUGAUAAAACAACAGUGACGUGGACAGCAGAUGUUACACCGUACUGAAGAUUUUUGAAGAUUCUUUAUUUGGGUUUCUUUCAAGAUGAAAACCAUAUUAUCCACAACCACAAUGAAGAAGACAGAAAAUGGAGUAAUUCAGAUGUUACCAGCCAUCCACGACAAACUGAAGUCUGCAAAGCAUUCGUAAUCUAAAGGGAGACUUUGGAAAAGCCCAAAGGAGAGAGAAAAUUUUUAAAAGAAGCAAAAAUGGACAAAAUUGCCCUUAUUUAUUUUUUGAUUUCCUAAGAAAUCCUUUACAUUUGCAUGUCUUUGGUUUGAAAGUUGAGAGGUUAUUCUGUCUUUUUUCAAAAAGCUUUGGCUUUUUCCAAAAGUGAAAGUUUUUUUAUGGGUAAAACCUAAAUUUACUUAAUCCCUAAAAAGGAUGGGGAGGCUGCGCAAUACUUAGCCACGUGUAGGCCAGGAGGCUUUCCAAUUUUAAUAUAUAUAUAAAUUGAAAAAAUAAAAUAAAAAUCAAUCUAUUAUCCUAUAUAAAAUAAAGAUUAUUGCUUCCAUGGGCAGUGCUAUGCACAGGACAGUGCCUGCCCAGCACAAAUUUUUUUUAAAUAAAAAAAAAAAAUCUACAUAUGUUAUAAGCUCAUCCAAAAAAAUAAAAUAAAAUAAAAGUAAAUUCUACAUAUAUGUUGCCCAUCUAGGUGGUUCCAUAUCUUCUCUCUCCUUCUCUUUUGGCUAUUAGACUUCUUGUUUCUCUCUCUCUCUUUGCUACCUCACAUCAGCAAGUUUCUCCCUCUCUUUUUUUGGGGUCAAAUUCUUCCUCUAUUGACAAAAUCUUCUAUUAUCUUGGGUGGGCAACUUGGCAACAACAUCUUCUCUUCUCCUUUUGUCAACAACAAGUAUUAUUCUCAUUCUCUCAUUUGCUAUAUAUCUUUAAUUAUAGUUUUAAUUUAAAAUUGAGUAUUCUAGGGUUUAAUUAGGGAUGAAUUAUAAUUUUAGAAUUUUGUUGAAAUUAAUUAAGGCUUCGAUUAGGGGUGAAUUAUUCUACUGCUUUGGUUUGGAAUUUUGUUAAAAUUGAGUAUUAUAGGGUUUAAUUAUGGAUGAAUUAUAAUUUUUGAUUUUGGUAUUAUUGAGAUGUUAUUAUGAGAAUUUGUUUCAUUUUUUUAUUGGUAUAUUUGAUUAAAAUUCUUUCUACAUAUUAUUCAUAGGCUAUCUUUUAUUAUGUCGGAUCACAAUCGGAAUCCCAAGAGAACAAAGAAUUUGAAUAGUGUUGUUUUGUAUUGCAUUGCAUUUACUUUUGGUUUUAGUUUUGCUUUUAGUGUAAAUUACUCAAAUGGUCCUCAAAUUUGUACCCGAUUUACAUUUUGGUCCAUAAACUAAAUUAUUCAUUCAAAUGGUGCACCAACUCUUUAUUAAUCAGUGCUUUGGUCCUACCGUUAUGUUUUCUAUUAAAUUUAGUCAUGUGAGCAGCACAUGCUACAUUUGUAGGGGUAAAUAAGACUUUUGACCACUUUAUCACCUAUGUAUCACCACUUUAUAACCUAUUUGGAGAACAUAGGUCAGUUAUGGACGGUUUUACAAUUAUAUUUGACGGCAACAUUAACAUAAUGUAACAGUGGGAUCAAUGGAGCGAUUAAUAUAGAGUUGAUGGACCGUUUGAACGAAUAAUUUAAUUGAGGGACCAAAACGUAAAUUGAGUAUAAGUUUGAGGACCAUUUGAGUAAUGUACCCUUCGCUUUUAUAUUUGUUGAACUUUUAUUUAUGGAUAGAUAUGCAUUUGAGGGUAAGACCCAUUAUGUUCCCCCUGACUUGGUGUAUCUUUUUAUGUUUAUUAAUGAAAUUCACUCGAACUGUUGAGUUUAGUAUGUAAGUUUUGCCUAACCGGCUUUUGAAUCCUAGAACCGCCACUGUUGCUCCAUCCUCCAUGCACUUGCAUGUGCUCUUACAAAGUGUGAAGUAGAUUUUGUGUGCUCCAAGUCAUUGACUAGAGCUGAAACAUGGUUAGCUAGAUUUAUAAGGACCCAUCUCUCUAUUUCCUAGACAUAUACCCAUCUCUCUAUAAAUCUAUAUGUAAAACUCAAUUUCAAACUUAAAUGACCAGUAAGAUAUAAGAGGUCAUAGUAUUCCUAUGUUUUUACAUCGUUGCCACCAGACUUCUUAUUUUAUUUAUAAUUUAUUUCAAGCAUUUCAUUAACUGCCAUAAUUGUAAUUAAUACUCCAUAUUAAUAGCAUAUCAAUCACCCCAUUUCUUUUGAUUGCCAUUCCCUCUAACAUAUCGCCCCUUAAAAUUGAAAACCAAAAAAAAAAAAAAUGUAAAUUACAUAUCCAAUAAUGUACCUAUGAAAAAUAUAAAUAUAAAUAUAUACGUAUAAAAAUAUAGGUUUAUUAUUUACCAAAUAAAAAAUAUAAAAAAACUAGGUCAGUUGCUUUGUAAUUGAAAUUUCUAUACAUUUUCCACAAAUUAAAAAUAGGUACACAAUAAUUUAUAGAAAAUAUAGGUGCAUUAUUUAUCCAUAGGUAAAAAUACCUAUAAAUGCACAUAGGUAAAUUAUUUACCCAUAUAUUAUUUUUUUGCUAAGGAUUUACCUUAGUUUUUAGUAGAUUAAUUUACCUACCUAGAGGCAUAGGUAGCUUAAAAAAAUUGUAGCACCUUAGUUGGUUGCAUACUAAUUUACCUACCUAGAGGCAUAGGUUGCUAAGAAAAAAUGUAGGUAAAUUCAUGUACCUAAACACAUAGGGGUCAAAUAGAGAAUAACAUGUUAUUUCCCUUCGAACAAAUUAAUUUCAAACCAUAACAAUAAUUGAAUUCGGAAAUUGGUAUAAAUAAAAGGAAAUAAAUAAGCUAUCAAUUUGAAAAUUAAAAUAAGAAAUGAUCAAGUAGUCAUAUUUGAAAAAAAAGAAAAGAAUAUAUUCUUGGUUUUUAUAGGAACAACGUGUAUAUUCAAACCAAAUGGCAGUAACUACACCAAGCUUUAAUUACUUUUUUUUAAGGCCAAAAGUCACUUUUGGUCUCUGUAGUUUGACACUUCUAUUACUUUUGACGCUGUAGUUUCAAUUCCGUCAAUUUUGCCAUUGUAGUUUCAUAUUUGUAGCAAUUCAAGGACAUGUUAAUAUUAAUGUCAAUUUGUUUAAUGAUGCAAGGGGUAAUUUCGUCAUCCCAAAAUCCUUGAGCAUAAAAGCUUGUCUGAAAUUCUCCCCAUUUCAUAUUAGGGCUCGAAAUUCAACCACUAAUCCCAAUUUUUGAAGAACCCUAUACCCAAAUGACCAAUUUCAAGCCCUAAUAACAAAUUAGGGAAGUUUUAGAUGAGCUUUUAUGCUCAAGGAUUUUGAGUUGAAGAAAUUGCCCCUUGCACUGUCAAAGAAAUUGAUAGGAAUACUGACUUGUCCUUGAAUUGCUACAAAUACAAAAAUACAGGGUCAAAAUUAACAGAAUUUAAACUAUAUGGUCAAAAGUGGUUAAAGUGCCAAACUACAAGGACCAAAAGUGACUUUUAGCCUUUUUGUUUAAAUAAGGAAAAAACUUACCUAUUAAAUCCUUGGAAUCUAUACAAAAUUGAAACACAGUUAAUCAGCAUUGAAUUGCAGCUAAUUUCUUAAACAAGGGUAUUAUAGGAAUUUAAAAAGUAUAACAUUUAAUCCAUUGAGCUUGAUUAGGAAUCUUGAUGAGUUGGAUCCUAGUUAUAUAGUUUCUCUUAUAAAAAUCGGGUUUUAUUUAUAGACAAAUAAAACAAUGGGUUGUAGGUAAGAAAAUAUUAAUUUGAAGGGAAAGUGUCACAUCCUGGGAUCGGCUCCGCCGUAGCACGAUAUUGUCCGCUUUGGGCCCCCCUCUCUGCCCGCACGGUUUUGUUUCUGGGAGCUCACGAGCAACUUCCCAGUGGGUCACCCAUCCUGGGAUUGCUCUGGCCCCCAACUCGCUUAACUUCGGAAUUCCUAUGACUCCGAAGCCAGUGAGCUCCCAAAAGGCCUCGUGCUAGAUGGAUGCGGGUGUGUACAUAUAAGACACAUCACCCCCUCUCCGUUGGUUGAUGUGGGAUCUUACAGAAAGAGUCAAAUUUACUAAAUUAAUAAAGCAUAAAUUGGAAAGGGAAAAGAUCUAGAGGAUGCAUUGUAGGAUUGCUCAUGCCAAUAAUUGCACCCUCUCGAUAUUGAAAAACCUAUUGUGUAUUAUUAUCUUCAAUCAUGAAUGAUGCACCUAAAACCCAAGUGUCCCAAGCCAACCAUUGCGCUCAUACCACUUGUUGCAGUACACAUUCACCCGUUUUUAAAGAAAGAAAUUCUACCAAUCGAUAUUGUCUCAAAUUUAAUCACAUAGGUCUAUUAUGGUUAACCAUAUGUACUUUUAUCGGCCAUAUAGAGGUACCUUUUUCCAACGUGCAACAAUUGUAUUUGAUUCACAAUUAUGUCUGAUAUACAUCACAUCAUGCCACUUGCCUCAAAUGAAUUUAAUUGAGUGAGGCAAUGGGAAGUAAUUAAGCUCUAUAUUGGUGGGUGGAGUGUUACUUCUGGAACCCUCAUCAUUCGUCCAUACAAGGGAACAAUUCCCUUCCUUCUAUAAAAUGGUGAAGCCAGUUGCUAUUGUUUGUUAGAGUUUUAGGAUCUGAGUGUUAGAUUUUGUGAGAAGAGAGAAGAGAAUUUAGUGAAAACUUCCAAUACUGCUCUGCUAUACGUGUAGCAGAGAGAACAUUCUGUUUUGUUAUAUAUUUUCAGUACAACAACACACACUUGGUGUGAGAAGAAAAAUGACUGUUAUGCACAGUACCAGCUGGAUGCUUUCCAUCAAAGUAAUCUCAGCCAUUCACUAUCUAACCAAUCAAGCUAUGACACCUGGACUAAGUAUAAAGAAAUACAACUAAGCAGAAAACAAGACUCUUAAUCCUGAAAUCAACUUAAGCACUUAUAAUUCAACACUCCCCUUUAAGUCUUGAGGUGAUUUCACUCCAAGCAUGCCUCUGAGAUAAUUGAAUCUGUCUUUGGCCAGAGGUUUGGUAAAAAUGUCAGCCAAUUGUUCAUUUGUAGGACAAUAUUCCAGAUUGAUUACCCCUUCUUGCAAUGCAUCCUUGAUGAAGUGAUACCUCCUGUCAAUAUGCUUUGUCUUCUGGUGGAAUACAGGGUUUUUAGUGAUUGCAAUUGCUGAGAUAUUAUCACAAUGCAAUGGAGUAGCUUCAGUUUGAAGCUCUCUAAAGUCUUCUAGCACAAAACGGAGCCAAAUAGCUUGAGUAGUAGCCUCAGCUGCACUGAUGUACUCAGCUUCUGCAGUAGACAGUGCAACACAGUUCUGUUUCACUGAGGCCCAAGAAAAUACUCCACUUCCAAAACUAAACGCAUACCCUGAUGUGCUCUUGCAAUCACCAACUGAUCCUCCCCAAUCACUGUCACAGUAACCAACUAGAAUUGAUCUUUUGCCUUUCACAUAUUCAAGACCAUAGUCCAGAGUUCCUUUGAUGUAUCUCAAAACCCUUUUAGCUGUUCCAUAGUGUCUAUUUGUAGGACAGUGCAUGAAUCUAGCUAGCAAGCUUGAGGCAUACAUGAUGUCUGGUCUUGUAGCAGUUAAGUACAGCAAGCUACCAACAAUGCUUCUGUAUUGUUCUUCAUUUGCAGCUCAACUCCCAUCAUCCUUAGCUAGUUUCUCAGUGGCAACAAGGGGUGUUGUCACAGGUUUGCACUCAGUCAAACCAAACUUGCUCAACAAGGUGCUAGCAUAUUUCUUUUGAUGUAGAAAUAUACUAGACUCAGUCUGAAUAACUCCCAUGCCAAGAAAGUGAUGAAGUAAGCCCAAAUCAGUCAUCUCAUACUUAGCCAUCAUGUCUUCUUUGAAUUCAGCCAACAAUGCUUGACUGCUCCCUGUAUACACAAUAUCGUCUACAUAGAUAGACACAAUUAGAAUCUCCUUAUCUCCCCUUACUUUGGUAUAUAAGGUUGUUUCACUUAAGCUUUUCACAAAACCACAUUGAGUGAAGUAGCUGUCUAUCUCUCCAUACCAAGCCCUUGGGGCUUGCUUCAGACCAUAAAGGGCUUUAUGCAAACGAUAAACCUUGUCUUCUUUACCUUUAAUUACAAAACCUUCAGGCUGACUGACAUAAACUUCCUCUUGCAGCACACCAUUAAGGAAAGCAGACUUCACAUCAAGCUGGAACAAUUUCCAAUCCUUUUGAGCAGCUAGAGCAAUAAGUGUUCUAAUGGUGUCCAAUCUGGCUAUAGGUGCAUAAGUCUCAUUAUAAUCCAGUCCAGGCUUCUGAGCAUACCCCUUAGCCACUAAUCUUGCUUUAUUCUUUUGCACUGAGCCAUCCAAAUUCAGCUUUGUCUUGUACACCCACUUAACUCCAAUCACUGGUUUUUCAGUUAGUCUAUCUACCAAUUCCCAUGUUUCAUUCUUUUCAAUCAUCUGCAGUUCAUCUUCCAUAGCCUUAAGCCAAGAUUCAUCCUGAGCAACAUCAGCAUAUUUUUCUGGUUCCAUGAUACACAAGUUACACUGAGCUAGAACAUCAUCUAGCCUUCUCCAUUUUAGAGGGGUGUGAUCAUAAGCUUGAGUUCUCCUUUCUUCACUGCUUAUAUCACCUGGAGUUGAUGAAAUGCUCUCUUGCAUAUCCAAAGUUUGAGGUGUACCAGUAGAAUUCUCAUUAGAACUGUCAGAUUUCAAGUCCAAAUCAACUUGGUUUUCAAUUGAGUAUGUUGUCAUAACUGAACCAUUUUUGUUUGUCCAAUGCCAAGCAUUUUCUUCAUCAAAUGUCACAUCCCUUGAUAGUAAAAGCUUGUUAGAAACAGGAUCAAAAACUCUAUAUCCUUUUUCACAAGUUGCAUAUCCCACAAACACUCCCUUUGUACUCUUAGGAUCCCGCUUGUGUCUCAAUUCAGUUGGCACAUGAACAUAACACAGAGAACCAAACACUUUCAGAUGUGCAAUUCCAGGCUUCCUUCCACUAUAUGCUUCGAAUGGAGUAAUGUUGUUGAGAGCUUUGGUAGGACAUCUGUUCAGCAAAUAGAUAGCUGUAUGCACAGCUUCUGCCCAUAGGAAAUAAGGCAUUCCCUUCUCAUGUAACAUUGAUUUUGCCAUCUCAAUGACAGUUCUAUUCUUCCUCUCAACUACUCCAUUCUGCUGAGGAGUAUAGGCCAUUGUAAGCUGCCUUUGAAUGCCAUUAGCUUCACAAAACUCCAAAAAAUCAGUAGACAUAAACUCUCCACCCCUGUCACUUCUUAUGCACUGAACCUUGUGUCCAGUUUGUAAUUCAGUCAUGGACUUGAACUUCUUGAAACAAAAGAAGGCUUUUGACUUGUUUCUCAAGAAGUAUACCCAAAUCAUUCUUGUGAAAUCAUCUAUAAUCAGCAUGAAAUAUCUGUUCCUUGCAACAGACUCAUUUCUCAUGGGACCACAGAGAUCCACAUGUAUUAGCACUAGUACUUUGCUUGCUCUUUGAGCUUGAUCUUUUGGAAAAACAUUUCUGUGCUGUUUUCCAAAUUGGCACCCGUCACACACACCACUUUGUUCUUCCAAUUUUGGUAAACCAUGUACCAUUUCUUUAUCACUUAGCUGCUUCAAUCCUCCAAAAUGCAGAUGACCAAAUCUCUUGUGCCAAAUCCAUGUGGAUUGAAGAAAACUAGUCUUCAUUAGUAACUGUUUUUCAGCUAGAAAAGAGACAGGAUAGCAUCUGUUACUCUUCAUUUGCACCUUUAUGAUGAGAUAAUCCAUGGAUGGGCUAUCAAAUACCCUGCACAUCCCUUCUCCAAACACUAGACAGUACCCAUGUUCAUCCAUCUGCCCAACACUUAGCAGAUUUUCUUUCAAUCCUGGCAGAUACAUUACUUCUCUGAUGUAUUUCCUGCCCUUUGCUGUAUCAAUACUCAGUGAGCCAAUACCAGCUACACUCACUAAUGCACCAGUUGGCAUUUGUACUCUCCCAGCUACAUUAGUUCUCACAUCAACCAGCAAAUCUAAAUUUCCUGUCAUAUGAUUGCUGCAGCCACUGUCAAUGUACCAUUCAUUGGUUUUGAUCUCAGUGGUUGAGCAAUUGGCAUAAAACAGGUUUCCUGUAACCUCCAUUUGAUUUACACAAUUAGCCUUCUGCACAUUUUUGCUCACUGUACAGUCUCUAGCAAGAUGUCCAACUCUGUCACAGUUAUAGCAUUUUGGUUUUCCCUUAUACCUGCACUCACCAAAAUGAUGCUUUGAACACACCUUGCAUUGAGGCUUUGUGUUUUCCUGAUUUGAGAACUGUGUUGAAGUGUGGUUCUGUGCAGAAUAAUUAUUCUGCUGUGUCUUGUCUUUUGCCUCCCAUGACUUCCCUUUAGAGUUCCAGCUUCUCUGUGACUUAGAUGAACCAGACUGAGAAGCAUUUUUGUUCUGACCCUUUGAAUUCACAGUGAAUGAGGCAAAUGCCUUCUCAGCUGUAUCAACACUAUGCAUUUCAAGCCUUUGCUCCCGACUCUUCAAAAUGGCAGUUACUUCCUGCAAAUCCACAGUUUCUAGUGUCUUUGUGUUUUCAAUCACAAUGCAUAUAGGGUCAUACUUCUUACUUAGACUAAUUAACACCUUCUGAACCUACCUCUCAUUUGACAGAACUUCACCAAAUGUUUUCAUUUGGUUAAUCAAUUCAGUUAGUCUAGUAAGAUAUUCAGAUAAGGUUUCACUAUCACGCAUCCUACUGUAUUCAAACUCACGUCUAAGGUUUUGAAGCUUUACCGAUCUAACAUGCUCUCCACCAUGAUAUUCUGAGUACAGCAGAUUCCAAGCCAUCUUUGCAGAGUCAGCAUUGGCAAUUCUGGGAAAAAUCUGAUCAGAAACAGCAUUUUGAAUGAUACCCAAGGCCUUCGCAUCCUUCAUGAGAAUCGCAGCUGUUUUCUCAUCAACUUCUUCUUCUGAACCAUCCUCAGAUUCCUGCUUCGUCUUUGAAUCUGGGAUUAAAAACCCCUUCUCUACCAAACCCCAUAAACCAUAUGAUCUGAAUAUGGUUACCAUCUUAAUCCUCCAAAAUUCAUAGUUCUCACCUGAGAAAAUGGGGAUUCUAGCCUCUGAACUUCCAGAUCCAGCCAUUACGAAUUUCAGAUUCGCCUGGAAACAAGAUGUUUUCAGAUUUGACCCUUGAUCGAGCUCAAUCAGCUUCGUGAGCUUAGAAUGAGCUCACCUCGAUCGAUUUUCUUCACAGAACAACGCCCAGCUUCAGAUAAUCAAACUUGGCUCUGAGGCCAUGUUAGAGUUUUAGGAUCUGAGUGUUAGAUAUUGUGAGAAGAGAGAAGAGAAUUUAGUGAAAAUUUCCAAUACUGCUCUGCUAUACGUGUAGCAGAGAGAACAUUCUCUUUUGCUAUAUAUUUUCAGUACAACAACACACACUUGGUGUGAGAAGAAAAAUGACUGUUAUGCACAGUACCAGCUGGAUGCUUUCCAUCAAAGUAAUCUCAGCCAUUCACUAUCUAACCAAUCAAGCUAUGACACCUGGACUAAGUAUAAAGAAAUACAACUAAGCAGAAAACAAGACUCUUAAUCCUGAAAUCAACUUAAGCACUUAUAAUUCAACAUUGUUACCAUAAGAGCCAGCUCCGACUUUCUUUAAUUUCAGUCCUAACGGGGUUUCAUCUUCCACUCAUCUUUGCUCUUCUCAGUGUAAGCUCUGCAAUUUGAUUAACUUUCCCAUUAUCUCUCACUGUACUCUAUAUAAAGGAAUAAGUGUCGUCCACUAAUUAAUUACACUUUGUGAGAUUUGAUUUUAAUUAGAGUUCGAAUUGAUGUUGCAGCUAGCAGCGGUGGCACUGGCAAACCAUGCUGCUCAACCAGCACCUCAACUUUACUGGAACUCCGUCCUGCCAAACACACAAAUGCCAAGAGCUAUCAGUGAACUUCUGCAUCCUGGUUUGUGUUGAAUAAAUAUAGUAUGUUACUGGAGUACGUAUGGCAACAUAUUCACAAAUGUGUCACGUAUUUUCCAAUAUGACGUUGAUAUAUAAUUGCAGACUCCACAAACGAAGAAAAGAGCACAAAUGUCAUGAAUGCUGUUGGGAAUGGAAAGCCAAUUGACCACAAGGGCAACCUGAAAAUACUGUACUACCACAGCUUGCACGACGCCCAUUUUCUUACAAGAGUGAUGAUCGUCCCACUGACAAUCAACUCCAUUAUAAAAACGUAGCUAUUUUCUUCUUGGAGAAGGACAUGCGCCCUGGCACAACAAUGAGCUUCCAAUUCCCUAGAAAUUCAAACACGGCUACUUUCCUGCCACCAGAAAGAGCUCAAUCGAUCCCCUUCUCCUCUAACAAACUACCAGAAAUUUUCAACCAUUUUUCAGUGAAGCCAACAUCUGUGGAAGCCAAAACAAUUAAGCAAACAAUCGAAGAGUGUGAGGCUCCAGGCAUUAAGGGAGAGGAAAUAUAUUGCGCCACAUCUUUAGAAUCAAUGGUUGAUUUUAGCACUUCGAAUUUUCGAACAAGAAACGUUCAAGCAAUCUCGACAGAGGUAUUGGAAAAAGGUGCCACCAUGUCCAUGCACAAGCAUACAACAAUGCCGGGACUGAAGAAGUUGGCAGGUGACAAAGUCGUUGUGUGUCAUAAGCAGAACUAUCCCUAUGCUGUGUUUUACUGCCAUGUAAUAAAACCAACAGCAGCUUAUGUUCUCUCCCUGAAAGGCGAUGAUGGGGUGAAGAUUAAAGCAGUAGCCAUCUGCCAUCUAGACACAUCAGAAUGGAACCCAAAGCAUUUGGCCUUCCAAAUCCUCAAAGUUAAGCCCGGAACAAUUCCCAUCUGCCAUUUCCUUCCCACUGAUCAUAGUGUCUGGGUUCCGAACCACAAAUCUGCAUGAUCAUCACUUAGCACUGUACGUAUAAUAAGCUUGCACCCCUGUAUAAUUAUCUCCCUACUCUACUUAUUUCUGCCUCUUCAUGUGGUGUAAGAUAUAUGAUGAGAUGAAGUUUUUGGGAUUAGUGGUCGGGUUGCCUUAAAAACACAGAUUACAGAAACUGCUUGAACUUAACCCGAUCAUGUUUUCUCUUGUACUCGUAAAGCAUGCUGUUGUGGUUCUACUUAAUUUCGUUCUCCCCAAUGUUUGAGUGUUUAAUUGUUACGUUGGAUAAUGCUUGUAGUUAGAGAAGCCUUCAUUUAUAUCAAAGUCCUCAACUUGUAAAGAUAUCAAUGGUCCUAGUGCUGCCACGUGUAAGAAGAUUGAAGAAUAAAGCUGUUGAGAUAUUGUUAGACCUGUUAUGCAGUUUAGGAAAACUGUUAGUAUUGAUAAGAGAAGGUUAGAGAUGUUAGAGAGGUUAGAAAACACGUGAACAAGGCUUUAACUCAGCUGAUAUAAAGUCUGUAGUUGUGCUCAGUUGAACUUAAUGAGAAAUACAACAAGUCUCUUCUCUAUCUCUGAAAUUCUCUCUGCUCUCUCUGCUUUACUUCUUUUGUCUCUGCUCUACAUUUUUUUUCAAUCUUCCUAUCUUAACAAAACUAUCAAGAAUUAAUGCAUCCAGAAACAUAUAUACCAAGACGCAAAACAACAUAUUUUUCAUGCUCUGUCUGUAACACCAAAGCAAACUUCCUUUAUCACAAAAGGAUCAAAUUCCAGUACUAAUCUAAUCCAUCAUGUAAAGCAUACAAUCUACAAGUGCCUCCCUUAAUUUGUCCAUUGGAUAUAUAUGUCACUUUUUGGUAAUUUGGUAUAGCAGCACCACGUAGUCUUGAAAUAGUAGUGCGGCUAUACCAAAUAUACCAUUUGCCCCUGCAUUUAACAGAAAAGUAAACAAAAUUGACGGUAGAACUAUUUGUCCUAACGAAACUGCAGUUGAAAGACCAUGAGAACGAUUUUGAAAAUUGAGGGACUCAAAUGAAAAUUGGGUCUAAGUUCAAGAACCAAUAAAACGAUUAACCCAUAGAUUUUGGAUCCAGUACCACAUCCCAAAGAGAAAACCACAAGUUUGCAAGCAAGUUUGUCCAUAAUAACACUACGUACAGUAUGGGCAGUGCGCUAGACUCAUCUCACUUUCUCAACCUAUCCUAUAGUUGUCUAAAAGAGUUUCUAAUUUAAUGUACUGAGAUUUACGAAAGAAAUAUCAGAGAAACAAUUUUCAGGCAAUAAAAAAAUGUCUUGGCAAGAAAAUGUACAAUUUGUUACAUAACUUAUUAAAUAUGAACAGUUGAAAGAAAAAAGAAUCUGGAUGAGGGAUUUGCAAAUUCCUAUGGCCCAAUUACCUUUUUUUCUUUGUUGUUUUUUUUUUUUUUUUUUUGGUUCUUUUGAUCCAGUAGCAUAUUCCAAAGAAUGAAAACCACAGGCAUGCAAUGCAAGCUCUUUUCCCACGUUUUCCUCUGUUUUUCUCCUAUCAUGGAAGUGAUUAAAACACACCUCUAAGCUUGUUUUGCGUUUGGUAGCCGAGUGUAAAAGCUCAAUGCAAGAUAGUUUGAGGUAGAAUUUUCUCCUAUUUUAUUAGGACAAUGAUAAUUAAAAAAAAGUGUGAUUCAUUGAAUAUUUGCGGGGUUUUGUUCAGACCUGACAAAGUUCUAAGUCAACACAUCAAAUUCCUUUUUCCAACAUGCAACAAUUGUAUUUGAUUCCCAAUUUUUUCUGAUAUACAUCACAUCAUGCCACUUGCAUCAAAUGAAUUUAAUUGAGUGAGGCAAUGGGAAGUAAUUAAGCUCUGUAUUCGUGGGUGGAGUGUUACUUCUGGAACCCUAAUAAUUCGUCCCUACAGGACUCUAGAACUCUCAAACUUCUUACAAGGACUACUUAACUCUAUAGCUUAAUGCAUAUAGCAUAUAUAUGCAAACACAAUUAGAAAUUCUACAACAGAAGCAAGAUCAAUCUCACUAUGCCUUCUAAACAAACAAACAAAUAAAACAAGCAUAUUAAUUGCUUUAAUCACUCUACUAACAUCAACACAGCACACUUAGUUUACUAACAGAUGAUAUAGAAAGGAAAAAAAAGGACCAAUAGGGAGAAAAUGGUGAACUAAGGAGAGACUAAUACUUCUGGUCCUUAGAAGGCAUAACAGAAAUAAUAGAGCACACUGCUUGAAUGCAAGUCAGUAUUAGGAGCAAAACAGCUGCAAUGAAAGAAAUAGUUGCCCAAGGUGUAUUGAAAUAAUGUUGCCUCAAAUUUGCCUUCCAUUUGUUCCAAGGCUUUCUGCAGUAGCUAUUAAGGCGCUCAGAAAGAAUAGCAAAGUAGAAGCUUUCACGAUACACUGCAAUUCCUUUUCCGAGGUUGUUAAUCAGAGUGCACACCUCAUUGUAGUCACCAAGCAUAUUUUUGACAAUCCCAUCCUUCAGAAGGAACUCCACAUCCUUUUCGGUGUUCACAAACUCAUCCAUGAGUGAAACAUAAUCACUUAUGUAAUUCUUACGGCAAUGGCACUAUUCAAAGGCAAUGAGGUUACGGAGUGUGAGCUCUGUGUAAUCGUGUAUUUUUAGUUUUGGAAUUUCUAGAAUCCCAUCGUUGAAUUGUGUUAACGCAGCUUUCCUUUCCUAGCCUACACGGAAGUCAACUUCACAAUCUCCUCCUAGCAAUUAGUCUUUCCUGCUGUAAAUCAGAUUUCCUACUGUAAAUCGGAUUGUAUUCAUGUCUAUAUUAUUUCCUACUUUAAGUAGAUAUCUUGUACUAGUAUAAAUAGGGACUUUGUGUAAUCUGUUAAAUACAAGGAAAUAUAUACUCUGCAUGGUAUCAGCCUAACCUAGGGUUCUCUCUCUCUCCCUUAUUCGAUCCUCUUCUCCUUUAGGUCCACCUCAUGGCUUUGUCUGAAUCCACCAUCUCCCUCCCAAGCCCCAACUCUUCUAUUUUAUCAAGCUUAUUGACUCCAACUAUCUUCUUUGGCUCCGCCAACUCAAACCCUUUUUAGUCGGCCAUGACCUCUGGAAAUUUAUCGAUGGCAUUCAUAAACAACCUUCUGCCCACACCUCCACCUCUACCACCGCAACACCCACAACCACCACCACUCUUACCCAAAUCAAUCAUGCCCAUGCUCAGUGGUACCAACAAGACCAACUCAUUGUUAGCUACAUCACCAAUACACUCUCUGAGUCCAUUCUCUUUCUCACUGUUGGUUGCACCUCUGCCCGGGAUCUCUGGGAGUGUCUCCAACGCCACUUCUCUCAAUCCAGUAUGGCCAGUGAAUCUACUCUUCGUUUUAAACUCAUGGAUUUGCAAAAAGGCUCUGAACCCACUUAUGCUUACAUUCGUCAUGCUAAGUCCUUUGCCGAUUCACUGGCUGCCAUCAAUGAACCUGUCUCCCCAAAAGAACUUGUCACUACUGUGCUUUGGGGUUUAAGACCCUAUUGCAACAUCCUCGUCACAGCAAUUCUCAAUUUCCCUCUGCUUCCUAACUUUGCUAAUCUUCGUGCUCGUUUGUUAGCAUUUGACGCACAGACUCCUUGAAUCUCUCCUGAUCAAAACACAGCGCAAAUGGCCACCCAAUCCUCUCCUCACACCACCGGUCAUACUUCCUUCCCUUCUCACCGUGGUGGUGGCUCUUCCAACAACAGGCGUGGUGGCCUCGGUGGCUGGCGCAAUAGCGGCCGGGGUGGCUGGCGCAGCUUCUCAUCUUCCUGGAGCAACCCGUGGAAUGGCUUCCAGCAGCUCCAAUGACCUAAUCAACCAUGGCCUCCUUUUGCUCCAAGUUCUGGAUCUCAAAGCAACUGGCCUUCCUUUCAGCCUCCUUGGGCCUAAUCUGCCGCUUCUAUCAAACACUUUGCCCGGCCCAACUCAGCUCCUGGUGUCUUGGGACCCGCUUGGUGCACUACCUGCAAUACCAAUCACAUACUACUACAAUAUGUCCUCAUCGCUACAAUGGCCCAGAAUCCUUUCUUUGCUAGGGCUCAAUUCAUGUAGCCACCUGACUCUACUUGGUACCCUGACACAAGUACCACUCAUCAUAUGAUUGGUAGUCCUUCUAAUCUCCAAAAUCAAUCCUUCUAAUCUCCAAAAUCAACAGCCAUAUCAGGUUCAUAAUUCUGUAUUUCUUGGUAAUGGAGAUUCUCUCCCUAUCUCUCAUACUAGCUCUCUCUUUUGUCUUCCAUCUCUUCGUACUAAUCUUCUUUUUGUUGCCCAUUUUACUUGUGAUAAUUUAGUUUUCUUUGUCUUUACUCUUGACUUUUAUCAAAUCUAUGACUUAUGUACUGGUUCGUUACUCUUUCAGGGCCCUUCUAAAGAUGGUCUUUACCCACUUUCCAUCUCCUCUCACUCAUCCAUAGUCCCCCAUGCCCUUACCACCGUGCACUCUCCUGCUUGGCAUCAUUGCCUUGGCCAUCCAUUCCAUCGUGUGCUCUCUCAUUUAGCGCCAUCUCUAGGCUUUAAAGUUUCUCAUGCUUUCUGUAAGGAUUGUGCACUUAGCAAAUCCACCAAACUGUCAUUUCUUAGUAAUAAAACCUUUGCCCCAUCUCCCUUUUAUUUAAUUCACUCUGAUGUAUGGAUGUCCUCGGUCAUUUCUGUCACUGGUUAUCGCUAUUAUGUCUUGUUUACAGAUGACUUUUCUCGUUACUCCUGGAUCUAUCAUAUGCACCGUAAAAAUGAGGUCUUUUCUCACUUUCAAACCUUUCUUGCUAUGGUUAAAAAUCAAUUUCACACCACUGUACAAAUUCUUUAAAGUGACAAUGGCACUGAAUAUGUUAAUAAUGCUUUCUCUGAUCUUUGCAGUCAACUAGGCAUCCACCAACGUUUCACAUGUCCCCACACUCCCCAACAAAAUGGCCUAGCUGAACAUAAACACAGACACAUUGCCACCAUGAUCUGUCCCCGGUCAUUUAUUCAACCAUCUUGACCUUUUGCUUGAUCAUUUUCCACAAGCAACCGUCCACGUACCCCAAUAAUUUAAAAGGGCUGAUGAUCUUUAAUUUGGUGAAAGCUUCUAUCUACCUACCGUGCUAUAUAUGAGCUAUGCAAUCGUGACCGUGUUACAUGACGUCCCAAUGUCGUAGGGAUAAAAAAAUAAUAGUCAUGGUUUUCUUAUUAAUGUCAAUACAUUCAUAGCAAAGAGCUUGUAGCUCUAGUGGUUAAGAGCAAUUACCCAUGCACUUGAGAUAUUUUGUGUUUAAAUCCCCUCUUCCCCAAUAUUUCUUGUAUAAAAAUAAAAAUAACAAUAAUAAUGACAUUAAUGUUGUAUUCUAUAAAGUGUUGGACAUGUUUUAUACCCCUUUCUUGCAAAUUACAGUUUGCCACGUGUACAAAAAUAAUAGAUAAGUGUUGGACAUCAAGAGCACUUACAUAUAGGUUUAAUAGGUAAGUUUUGAAUAUUUCUGUAUUUAGCUUUAAAUAUUGAAAAUCAACCUAUUAGCAUAUUAAAGAUUUGUCCAUAUUCGACGUACAUUCUCUUAUUUUUCUCUCAUUGAAGUAAAUACAAAACUAAGCACAUAGUGGGAAAGUGCGUCACGAUUAGGGGUGGGUUUAGUCUAGGUUGGUUCAUUUUUGGGCUCAAUUUGAACACCGAACUGUAAGCUUCGGUUUGGCUAUUUUGGAAACCGAAACCAAACCAUAAUUGAUGAAAACCGACCACUUCGAUUACCUUCUGGUCUUCCAACCAGAAGAAAACUCAAAACUUUAACCAUACCAAGUGCAACAGAAUUACACCAGGCUGGAUUCAAGUUUAUGAUGGUUAAAGAUAAAAACUUAUUUGACAUACAAUUUGAGAAUGGAAUCCUCAAAAUUCCACACCUGCGAAUACGGGGUUUAACAGAAAUUUUCUUCCGCAAUCUUAUUGCCUAUGAGCAGUGUGAGCUUCAUGAUCAUUACAUCAACGACUAUGUCUUCAUCAUGGACCGCCUGGUCGACAGUGCCAGGGAUGUGGAAUUGCUUGUGAAGAGUGGAAUUCUUGAAUCUAUGCUACCGGACAGCGAGGCAGCAGGGGAAUUUAUUAAUUCUCUUGACUUGGGGCCUAUUUUAGGCAAGCUUGAAACAAGACUAUUUCAGUUCACCAUGGGCUGGCCUGUCUAUUAUUGUAGCCGCUAUACUAGUUGUGCUCACAUUUAUUCAAACAGUGUGCUCCGUAAUGGCGCUGUAGGUUCUUCAUUUCCUCAAUUUCAUGUUUAGUGGUUGCAGAUUUGUUGCUCAUGUACGUGUUUAUCUAAAGUUAAAUAAGAGUGAUUGACUGGAUUGACUGUUAGUCUGUUAGUUUGUUUUUCUGGGGUUUUUCCCCCCUGUUCGUCAAAAAAAAAAAUAAAAGAGUGAUGGCUUGUGCCUAUGAAAAUUACUUAGGAGUAUGCUCCACAGAGCCAAAAUAAAUAAACUAGGGAAGUGGAGGUUCUUCUGUUUGUAUAUAAAUGAGCAAUUCAAACUCUCAGUGCCAAGGGAGUUACCCUUGAUACAUUUGUUAAAAAUUAUAUAUUUGGUCUUACAUCAAACAAAUAAUUUGAAGGGCUUUUUUGACAACUGCUGACAGCGUUUGGCAGAAAAGUUUAGAAGCGCUUCUACGCUUCUAGAUCAUAAAAGUGCUUUACCAAAAAGCACUUAGAUUUCUUAUGAAAAUUUCAACAUUUUUAUAAUAAAAGCGCUUGCUAGAAGCACUUAUAAGCAGAAGUGCUUCAUAGAGAAGCAGUCCCAAACGAGCUUGAUUUUCAAAUGUGCUGCUUAAGAAGAAAUUUAAUACGUUUUGAAAACAAAAAAAAAUACGAAAUUUAAUACGUUUGUUUUACAAAUUGUAUUAAUUGUUAUCAAUAAUACUUGUGCACACCCACAACAUACUUCUUUCUUUCUUUAUUUUCCUUCAGUACAGUUCUGCCUUUCUUUAAUUAUUUUUAACGAAUGCAAAGAGUUUGUCACAAAAUCAAGGAUUGAAAAAAAAAGAGAGUAAAUUAUGUGCUAGAGAAACUUUCCUGCAGAAAUUGAAGAACAACUCUAGUUUCUCUCUUUCGCCUUGUACUCCCGCACUGAGGUUAGUAUUGUUAUAAUGUGCAGAUUAUACGGUCACUCUUGUAUAAUGGCGAGAAGGCUCUAAUUAUAUUUUUGAACCUCUUUGACAGGACCCGCCCCGAAUUUCCCGAAACCCAAGACGAAUUCUGUGGAAAUUCCCUACAUCACCCCGAUGUUGGGCCCACUUCUAAAACUAUAUCAUUUUUCCUAAAAAGGAAUAAGGGCACGAGACUUUCUACCGAAAUUUCGGCAGAGUCUCUCCUGUAAAUUGAACAUUUCCCAAAAUUUCAACCUGCAUAAAACACAUUUUAUAUUACCCAACUGGCAGCAUGCACAAAAUAAUAACAUGCAAUUCACAUAAACGGCCUCUGGCCCUCCGGUAAUUCAGAGCAAUGCAAACUAGCAACUCUAAACCUAAUAAAACAACAUAAGUAACAUUUAGCCAGCGGCUGCACCCAGGCACUACCCUAGGCUACCUACGUACCCUUACUAAGGGAUCAAGCCACACGUAGUUCUUUCAUACAAAAUUUCCAAAUCCAUCAACAUGCAAUCAAUUACAGAAUCCCAAACAAAAUCUUUCUCAAACAUCAUUAGUUCCCAACUCAGUAUAAUAAUCCUUAAUUCAUCUCUGUAAUAAUCACAAUAUCUCCCCAUACGCCGGAACUACCAACACCACGUAUGGAGCCUGCCUGUACGCCAGAUAACCAACGACACGUGGGACCUCAUCAUCAUAUCACAUAAUCUCCCCAUACGCCGAAACUACCAACACCACGUAUGGGGUCUGUCAACACGCCGGAUAACCUACGACGUGUGACCUCAACAUCAAAUCACAAUAUCUCCCCAUACACCGGAACUACCUACGCCACGUAUGGGGUCUGUCCACAUGCCGGAUAACCUACGACACGUGGGACCUCAUCAUCAUAUCACAUAAUAUAUUAACGAUCAAGAAAUAUCACUACGGUCAUUUAAUCCUCCUGGGAAGGUAAAACUAUCUCAGGAGACUCACGGUCAACCAAGGGUCAAACUACCUCAUACUUGGACAAACGAGCCCACGGAGCCCACAACCUCCGUUUUACUAUCCAAGAGUUCCUAUAGGUUCUACAAGGUUUAGGAUACACGGCUUGCAAGUUUGGUCAAGAUCAGACGGUCGGAUCGCUCACGAUAGGACGGUUACUGCAAACCUAGCCCUAGGGUUGGCAUUUUCGGAGUAUCCGAAACUCCGUUUUACGAUCUGUCGAAUCAUAGACGAUCCUAAGGAUUUGCAGACUAACUAUAAUAAAUUCAAGACCAUCCAACGGUCUAAACCUAUCGAACCCGGAUAACGCGCAAUAGGCAAUAUCCAAAUUGAAAUCCGAGCACACCUACGCACUCGUGAGGACUAGGAGAUUACAUCGGGACAUAGUGCCCUUUUUCUACAGUGCCCAUGAGCCGCCGCACGCACCAGCAACGCGUGGGUGCCCAAAGCGAUUAUGCAUCGCCAAAAAAUCUCAAAACCACGGCUCAAGACUCCUACCCUAGGUAUAACACCCUAUUUGGAACCACUUUUGUUCUUGGACCUACCCCAAAAACUGAUCAGAAGUGGCCGGAAUGGCUGAAAUGUAAUUCAAAAAUCAAGCUACCAACGCUCAAAAUCGAUGCAAUCCUACCCAACCAUCAACUAGAUUAUGAAGAAUGGAUAAAUUUCCAUACCUUGAUCGCCAACAAUGGCGGCCGGAGGAGAGAGAUCUGAUCCGGCGAAGUUCGAGUGAAAACGGCCAAAAAUCAUCUUUUUCAGGCGGCUGGAGGGCGACCGAUGUCAGGGAAGGGCAGGGUCGUGACGCUAAGGCUGAGCCUGUCCUUUUGGCACCGGUCCCUUCCGCAGCCGUGUCCGGUGGCUGGAGUUUCGAAGAGAGAGAGAGAGAGAGAGAGAGAGAGAGAGAGAGAAAUCUGAUUUUUAUCAAACCUUUUUGCCAAAAUUACGGUUAUGCCACUGAGGGUAUUUUGAUAGUAUCUCUCUCGUUACAACUUCGAUUCGAGCCCACCACGUGUGUACGGACUCAUCUAACUGUGUUGUACGCAACGGUAUAGUCGAAAUUCCCAAAUUAUUUCCUUGUCAAAAAGUCAACUUUAAACAUUAUAAAAUAUUUUAGGGAAAAAAUGGUAUUUUCUCUCAAUAAAUUAGUAACUAAUUUAUUUAGGACUGGGUCAUUAUACUCUUUUUCGCUUCAAUGGAUGGGAAAAAAUUUUAUGUAAUAUCCCACAUCGACCAACGAAGAGGGGGCGAUGUGUCUUAUAUGUACAUGCCCGCCUCCAUCUAGCAUAAGGCCUUUUGGAAGCUCACUGGCUUCAGAGUCAUGGGAACUCCGAAGUUAAGCGAGUUGGGGGCUAGAGCAAUCCCAGGAUGAGUAACCCACUGGGAAGUUGCUCGUGAGCUUCGAGAAACAAAACCGUGAGGGCAGAGAGAGGGGCCCAAAGCGGACAAUAAGGCCUCGUGCUAGAUGGAGGCGGGCAUGUACAUAUAAGGCACAUCACUCUCUCUCCGUUGGUCGAUGUGGAAUGUUAGAAUGGAAUUGUUACCUUUGGUGUGGAGGUGUUCUAUCAUUUGAGCAAGAAAUUCCCACAUAUUCUUCAACUAUUUUUCAAGCAUGCAUAUUCCUCCCUAUCAAUCUUUGGUUUCUUCCUUUACUGUGCAUAGUAAGGAUCCAGUCAGGGACGGACCGUCGCUAUGACUAUCCUGGGCUAUAGCCCAGGCAAAUUAUUUUUUUUUCUAGUCUAAAAUAGCAAUCCCACCGCUUGCUGUAGUACUUGUUCAGUUCGUCACAAACAUGAGCAUAAUAGAAGUUAUCAACAUCUAUAUAGGAACCCCAAUGAAAAGGCUGUUAACUAAUAAUGAAGUUAACCCGUCAAUUUUUCCGCAUAUCAGAUAUCUCUCAGAAUAUGCGAUUCCAUAUUCAAUAAGCCACUCCACAUGCCCUGAGGUUUUCAUCAAACCACCCAUUAAGGAAACAUACUGACUCAUGUAAUUAUCAUUACUCAUCGGGUAAUGCAAUUGUUCAAAGGCAAGGACAUUUCUCAUUAUUUAUGUAGCGAACCCCAAUGGAAAUGGUGGGAUCUUCAGAACCCCAUCGGUGCUACUGAAUUGUAUGUCAAAUAUGUUUUCACCUUGUCACGCCUCAAACUUGACUCCAGCGUGCUGUAAUUCUGUCAAGCUGGGUAUGGAUGAUGGGAGUUUGAUGCAGGAGCAUAGGGGUGGAUCAAGAUAGAUAUUUACUAUUUAAUUAGUUAUUUCAUGAUAUAUUGUUAUUUUCUUAUUUAGGUAGUUUUAUGAUAUCUUUUAUUAUUUAUGUGUGAUUUUAUAAUUAAUUAGUAUACUUUUGGACCAAGUAGCCUUGGUGCUCAAGUCUUGUAAAGCCUAUAAAUAAGGCUAAUGUAAUAGUUGUAGAAUAGAUGUCGAUGAUUAAUAAAAUCGUUUAUUUGUGGCAUGGAUUUGCUACGAUAUAUGUGAGUUUGCACUAGCCCUAGAUUUCAGUGCUCGUGUAUGUGGUUGGUGACCUGUGUCCGGAUCCCGAUCCCCAUCAAUUGGUAUCAGAGCUAUGGCUCAAGAUCUGCUAUAUCGGGGAGGUUUUUGGAUGGAGGGUCGUUUUAACAACUACAACGACAUGGAGGAAAUUAGGAGGAUGCUACGGCAACUUAUGGAACACAUUGCUCGCAUUGAAGCUCGAACCCAGAUAGGUAAGAGUUCUGACGGGGAGGGAUGUGUGAACCCUUAUCUGAACCGAGUAGCUCGCAUCGACACUCUAAGCCGUGAGAGUCUCGACGGGGAGUACGAGGGAGAUAGCCCUUUUCAUUAUUGUGCUCCGCUGUGUGAGUCAAGUGAAGAGGGGCACGGUUAUUCUCAUUGUGUCUUUGAAGGUAUAAAUGAAUUUAGUAAUUUUGGUGCAUCUUGUUAUUCAUCAAAGUUAUUAAAUUUGGAUUUACCUCCAUUAUUUGAUCCUUGCAAUUGUGAAAAUUGCAAUAAAAAUUGUUUGGGUGUUCAAAGCAAUUUUGAUAAGCAAUUUAUUGACCAGAACAGUGAAGAGAUGAGAAUUGAGAAAACUUUCGAAGAUAUUAUUGAUUUUAUGGGCAUUAAUAUUUUCACUUGGAAGGUUGCCAAAAAUCUGGUUGAUUUUGUCAAUCGGUUGAAGAUUCUAGAGAGAAACAUUUGCAUUGCUAGAGGGAGUAAGAAGUCAAGAAUAACGAAAUAUUCCAAAUAUCUUUUUAUUUGGAAAGGAAGGUUUCAAUUGGAUGCUAAAAGAUCCAAAAUUAAUAUGCAGCAAUUGAAGAUUCUACUCGGAUUUUCCUUAAUCAAAGGCUUGAAUUCGAGGACGAAUUCUUUCCAACUAUGGGAGUCUGAUGCAGGAGCAUAGGGGUGGAUCAAGAUAGAUAUUUACUAUUUAAUUUGUUAUUUCAUGAUAUAUUGUUAUUUUCUUAUUUAGGUAGUUUUAUGAUAUCUUUUAUUAUUUAUGUGUGAUUUUAUAAUUAAUUAGUUUACUUUUGGACCAAGUAGCCUUGGUGCUCAAGUCUUGUAAAGCCUAUAAAUAAGGCUAAUGUAAUAGUUGUAGAAUAGAUGUCGAUGAUUAAUAAAAUCGUUUAUUUGUGGCAUGGAUUUGCUACAAUAUAUGUGAGUUUGCACUAACCCUUGAUUUCGGUGCUCGUGUAUGUGGUUGGUGACCUGUGUCCGGAUCCCGAUCCCCAUCAGAGUUCCCCUCCAGCUUUUGAUUCCAACGGUUGAUAGAGUUUAAAUAUUUUCCUGAAAAGAUCAAUAAUAUGUGCCACUGAUCUAAAAGUCUCCAAAUUGUCUUCCAAUUUGUCAACAGGCAAUAGAUGUUCGAAGAAACUGAAAGAAAUACAAAUUAUUGAAAGCCCCUCAGUAAUGCUGUUAUUGUCAGCAUUAGCAGGGAGUGUAAUUUUCUGUGGGUCGAAAAGAUCCUCGAGAAUGAAGAAUGGCAACUGAUUUUCAAGCAACCACGUAUCUGUCCAUGCAUCUUGCAACAUACCUGGUUUGUCAAAUAUGCGGUCAUUUUCGUCCCAAAAUUUGAAGUAGUCCUUCAAUAAGGGCUCAAUAACGAAGGCGGCGCCCACUAGAAUGAUUGUUACAAAUUCAUCACUGCUAAACUUGAUGGGUUCUCCAUAACAACGUCUCAAUCUUGCUUCGUGGUCCUUUAUUUUCUUAAUAUAAUCCUCCAAACUCACAUUGGUCCGACCUAUAAAAUCUUGCAGGUAUCUCUGUUUGUUCUCUUCCAAUACGACAUUCAAGCCUUCCUUUCCAUGGUGAAGUGGACCUAUAGAGACCGACUGCCUGAGGUGUGCAGAGCUUUUCAUUCACACAUACGUAGAUAAAAUGUCUGGGGGCUCAGAGAGUGAUGAAUGUGCAACAGCUAAUGGGAGGGUUUAUAUUCCUGAAGUAAGAAAUGAGGAAACACCAGCAGUUGGGAUGAAGUUUGACUCGCUUGACCUCGUUUACAAUUUCUAUAAUAGAUAUGCAUUCUUGGCUGGCUUUGGUAUUCGACUUCAUUCUAGCUUUUGGGGGAAAAAUAAGAAAGAGAUUUUGAGGAAAGAAUUUGUAUGUUGCAAACAAGGUGCAUACAAGAAGGAUGAAACUCGGGAGAGAAAAAGACAACGGGGAAUAAGUAGAUGCAAUUGCAAAGCAAAGAUUGUGGUUGUGAAGACAAAUGGGAGCAAGAAGUAUACCAUUUCUCUUUUUGCAGAGGGACACAAUCAUAAGAUGACACCCUCAGAAAGAAUGCAUUUAUUGAGAUCACACCGUCAUAUUUCAGAUUCUACAAAAGUACUCACAAAACAGUUGGGUUCAGUUAAUAUUCCCAUUCAUCAGAAGGUAAGUAUAUUCGAGGUGCAAUCCGGAGGAAUGGAUAAAAUCGGUUUUAUCAAAAAAGAUAUCUACAAUCUUGAAUGUAGUGUGAAUGGGAAGCUGAGGAACCACGAUGUUGAACUAGUGACCGAGUAUUUUAUGGCUGAACAGAAAAAAAAUGAGGCUUUUUAUUUCAAGAUUGAGGGAGAUGGGCAUGACAGGUUUAGUCGAUGUUUUUGGGCAGAUGCAACUUCUAGACGGGCGUAUGGGUUUUAUGGAGAUGUUGUUGUAUUCGAUACCACAUUCAACACGAAUCGAUACGACUUGACAUUUGCACCAAUGUUGGGAGUUAAUAACCAUGGUCAGACAAUUGUCUUAGCAUGCGCAUUUUUGAGCAAGGAAACGACUGAGUCGUUUGUUUGGAUGUUUGAGGAGUUUAAGAAAGCCAUGCCAGGUGGGGAACCUAAAACGAUCAUUACAGAUCAAGAUGCGGCAAUGGCCAUAGCGAUUUCAAUAGCCUUCCCGAGUACAUUUCAUCGACUUUGCAUAUGGCACAUCACAUCAAAGUUCUCUGUUAAGUUACCACGUGACGCUUAUAAGGAGUAUUGGCCUGAAUUUCAGAAAGCCAUAUGGGAUACUGACAAUAAGGAUGAGUUUGAUGCAAAAUGGAAUAUUGUGGUUAUAAAGGCUGGUUUGACUGACCAUCCAUGGCUAAGUUCAAUGUUUGAUUUAAGGGAAUCUUGGGUUCCAGCCUACGCACGACAAUUUUUUGCCGCUGGAAUGUCAAGCAGCCAAAGAGCGGAAGGUUCUCAUGGUUUUUUCAAGCAAUACAUAUCAAGGAGAAAUUCGUUGAUGGAUUUCAUAAUACGAUUUGAGAGGGCAUUUUCUCAUCAACGUGAAAAAGAGUUAGUUGCUGAUCACGUAGAUGCAUUUGAAGUGGCUCAAUGUCUUCUACCGAUGCCAAUGAACAAACAAAUGGCUACCUUGUACACAAGGACAAUGUUUCAAAAGUUUGAGCAAGAACUAAUACAAAGUACAGCAUGUUUCCUAGAGCUCAAAACAGAGGAUGCAUGUAAAGUUGUGUUCAACGUGAGCGAAAGGAAAAAUUGGGAAACAAGAGUGGCAGAAGUCGUAUAUGUCAAAGAUUCUGACCACGCAUCGUGUAGCUGCAAAAGAUUUGAAUUUGUUGGAAUUAUUUGCAAGCACAUCCUAGCAUUGUUCAGAAGGGACCAGAUUGAAUAUAUGCCCGAUAAAUAUAUUUUGAAGAGGUGGAAGAAAACUGCGAAAUGUGGAUUGGUGUCAGAUGCAAAUGGCAACGAAAUUAAAGACUGUGCAGAUCCUGGCCUUCUAAUAAAGCGGAGUACAAUGUCUCGACUUGCUUCAAAUGUGGUUGAGGAUGCAUUAAUGAGUGAAGAAGGAUGUGAGCUACUGUCAGAGACUCUAAAAAGUUUGCAGGUGAAGUUGAAGUUGCUGAAGGAUGGACCAAGUAAUAACGAAGUUGGAGGGUCCAGCUCUCAAACACAAUAUAUGAAAGACCCUAAGAGAGUGAGGUGCAAAGGAAGGUCGAAAGGAAUAACGGGAGCAAAGGAAAAGGCAAUGAAGCGAGGGAUUAGACACUGUCGGGAGUGUGGACACAUUGGUCAUGAUAGAAGACAAUGCCCAGCCUUGAACACACCGUAAGAUGCUACCACUAUUUGUAAUAAUAUCUAAAAUAUGAAAAGGUAAAAUUUUUAUGUGCUUGUGUUUGAUGUUUAUGCAGGACAUCACCGUCGAACAAUGACAAAUCAACUCCAAUACAUCGUAGUGACCCAUUAUUCGACGAUUUUGACAAGAUGCACAGACCAACUGAAUGAUUGAUAUUUGUAUUAGACGAAAUGUGGUUGUUAUGAAGAUUAAUGAUCAAGUGAAGUUUUAUAGAUUCAGUUUUUGAAUGUUAUUGUGUUUUUGUUCAUGUCCACCGAUGAGCUCUUACUAUGUCCACUGGUAAUUGAAAUGAAAAUUUUCUUGGUUUCAUUCUUCCAAGACAUUUGGAGACAUGUUAAUUUUACGUCUUCUCCCUAUUUAUAAAUUUUCAUAGACAUUUGAUCAAGUUUGAAAUUUGUAGUUAUGUGAAGAAGCAAUGACUCUUACCAUGUAAAAUGGGCAGUUUAGGGUGAAAUUUGUUUUAACAGAGAUUCAUUUUUCAAUUCCUCAGGGUAAUGCAGCAAUUACAGCAGCCAGCUGUUGUUUCCAUUACCAGUAAUCAUUUCCAGCAGCAGCCACUUUUUCCGACUGGUUAUUAGGGGCACGAUUUUGUACACUUUUGUAAGUGAAGGAUACUCGAAGCACUUUGUUGGAACAGAGCAAAUAGAAACCAGCGGGUAAAAAAAAAACAUAACAUUGCAGCUAAUUACAUUUCGAUACAUAGGUGAAAAAUAUUAAAGGGUACACUAACUUACAUAAAUACUCAUAAUUCCACACACAAAAGAACAUUUGAUUGCAAAACAUAUUAUGUGCUUCCUCAUAGCAAUACCACGAUCUCCCCAACCAACUGAACAACGGUAGCCACAAUCACUGGGUCGUACUCGUCAGCUUCUUCUUAGCAGGUCUCACAUGCUUAUGGCCACUCAUAUCCCUAGUGAUAUACACGAAAUAAAUCUUCAGCAAUAUUUGGAAUUUUAUUAUAUAUAAAUAAACCAUAAACCAUUCAGUAAACAAUGUAUAGCACAUGUUAUGUAACUUAUGACUCACGUGUCAGUUUUUUUUUUAACACAUUAGUACUCCAGCUCUUUAAUGUAAAUGGACAUGAUAAGGAGCAUUUACUGAUUCCCGGCUUUCUAUGAUAUUGACUGCUUCUUGAAUAAUAUUUCCAUAUUUGCAAAAUAUAAUGUUAGACAUUAUAACACAUGAUGACUUGCAAUACAUAGUCCCAAUAAUUAUAUAUCAAGCAAAUGAAACUGAUAUUUGUGUUAUUUUAAGUUAGAUAAUGACAUUAAGGGAGUAUAUGUGCAAUACCACGGUCACCCUCAACCAACUGAACAGCGGUAGCCGCAAUCACUUAGUCGUAUCGGUCGGCUUCUUCCGAGCAGCUUUGACGUGCUUAUGCUCAUUCAUGUCACCCCCAUCGUCUAGUAUCUCUCUCACAGCAUCAGGGGACACAUAGUUCCAAUCAUAACUUGUAUGAGUAGUUGCCGCAAAUGCUCGGAAUUUGUCGAAUCCUUCGUUGAAUGCCAACUCCAGUUCAGUAUGGUGCUCUUCGCAUCGCAUAUGGUUCAUCAAACAACCUUUGAUUUCAUCAUUCAUUACUGUAUCCAACUCCUCAGCUUUCAGCUUCCUGCUAUGACUCAGCUUCAAGUACUUGUUCUUUUGGGAUAACGCUUUGUUCACCCUAAUGUUAAGAUCAGCCAAAAUUGCCUCGUCUUCAACACAUUUCUCGUGCCAUGAAUUGAUCAGUCUGGAAUUAUAAUCCAGCUUGCCACUGACUGCAUGUAUUGCCUGUAAUGGAUCAUCGGAGUCCCCCUCACUCCCAAAUGAUGUUGAAAAAGGAAGGGGUCGGCGAGUACAAUGUGGAAAUAGAACCUGCCACUCCAAUUUGUCAUCUUCGAUUGUGUUGUUGGCGCCUGAAGAGGUUGACAUGCUUGAAUAAUCCUCUUUGUUUUGGGAGGAUGAGGAUUGCAUAUGCAAUUUCGUUUGAGAAAGGGAACAUAGGUUUAUAGACCAACAUACCAAAGCUUGUGUGUAGUCAACAUAUGUACUUUUUGGCGGGAAUUUUUUAAAAAUAGGUGUUAGGUUUUGCUUUUCAAGCAUGUCAACCUCACACUCUCCUGACACCACUGCUAGUGGUUGAAACAAAGUCAAUGGAAGUGACAUCUACUUAGUUAACUCAACCAAACUAGUUAGGAUUAAACUUAGAUUGUAUCAGACCAAAAAAUAAUUUCUACUUUGUCAACCAAAUAUUUUUUGGCGGGAACCCUUUUCUUGGUAUUACUAUCACCCCUUUCAUAUAAAAUCUCCUUCCACACAAAACUCACUCCUCCACCGAAUCUGUCUCCAUCUACCGAUACUCUCUCAAGCAAACAAACUCAUUCCCCCCAAAGAAUGAGCAUAAGCACAACCAAGUUUGAUGUGAGCAUAAUAAACACCCCUCCAAACAAAGACCGGCUUCGACACGCAAGUGAGUCACCGGACAAGCAAUGUCACAUUGCUAGACAGAAUGACCAUUUUGUUGGAAGUUUUGAGUCUGAAAGAGUUGUUGCUUUUUGGAAGGAGAGGCAUCUUCAACUUGGUGAUGAAAUCCAAAGGGCAAGGGCACGUUUGGAAUUUGUGGAAGGCCAAAUUGAAGAUGACAAAAGGCAGGCCAAUCUGGAUAGGGCGAAGUUGUAGCGCAUGAAGCGUAGACACAAACGACUUCGGAGUGUAGCUGUUCAAAAAUACAAGAACUCAUCUAAUGUAGUGGAGUCAAAGAAGCGUGUGAUGCAAGCUGGAUUCGACUACUUCCGAUCCUAUGCAAAACUCGUCGUACCCGGGUUUGAUUGGUCAUCUAUUACCGUUUCCGACGUCACCAAAUAUACUCAGCAAGGGAAGUAACCAUUUUGGUUCUCGUGUUUUAGCAGAGGCAAAUAAGUGGAAUUGGAAUUUUGGUUACACUCUGCUUCAAAGCUAUUUUGAUGCUAACUACUAUGGAAGAUUUAAACCUUAAUAUUUUGAUGUCUUUAAUUACGAAAACAGAAGAUGCAAAGAGCUCAUCUACUUCAGCCAUAUGUUGCUGCCAUGUCCAUUUGUUUUUGAUCACUUAUCAGAUUUGGACAUGGUUGCAUCAUAUGCAAUGUUGCCUUUAUUUAUUAUAUGUUAGGACAAGGUUUAUGGAAAAGCUUUUGUGAGUGCGUUUGUGACAAGGUUAUGGAAUUAUUAUGUACACUUUAUAUAUUGUUUUUUGUACUGGUUCAUUUCCUACUAUUUCUUGCUUUCUUUAUAUUUUAUGUUUGUGGAAUCCCUCUCAAAGUUAACAUAUACUGUGAAAAAAAUAUUAUGCAACUGAUUAUAUAAUCACUCAUAUAGACUAGGACAAAUAUUCACUAAGGGUUUUAAACUUGCUUCACUUGUGUGAUGUUAUUGACAAAAAGUAUGGCAUUAUUUAUGUGAUUUGACAUGAUUGAAAAUAUAUUACUGAUUCCCAAUGCGGCGUCAUAUGGACAACGUAUUGAAUACCUGUGACGUGUUAAUAACUCAAGGUGCAGUUGCAUGUGGACAACUUCUUGAAUACCUCUGACGUGUUGAAAACUCUAGGUGCAGUUGCAUGUGGACAACUUAUUGAAUACGAACUGACGUCUUCAAAGCUCUAGGCGUAGUUGCAAUGAUGGCUUCAAAGCAUGUGCAAUUAUUUUUUAUGUACAUUAUUAUAACAAAACAUAUUAUUGUAUAUAGUGAAACUAAAUAUUGUAUUAUUAGAAAUUAUAUUUCGAAUAUUAUCCGAAAUAUACGUGUUAACGUGAAUUUGGGUUAAGAGGAAAGUGAGUUAUGUACAAAUAAUUUUCAUUUUCUCAUUUUCCGGGCAUUUUUUGGAUUUUCGUAGAAUUUAUUACCUAUGUCCACAGAUUGUUGCACUAAAAAAGCCAAAAUAAUAGCAAGAGGACACCUGGAGCGAUCUCAGCCCGUCACUGAUGACUACUUGCACAAGUGUACGUCAGUCAACAUGGCCACACCCUCCCAUUUUACCCUAAAUUAUUAUUUUAUUACUUUUCCUUACAAAAAUCAGAACUAAUUACACACAAAAUAAAAAAAUUAUCCGAAAAUUGCUACGAACUCAUUGACACUCCAUCUCCGUUGCUGAAUUCUCCGAUUCAUUGUUACGUAUUUGUAAAAUUAAUUCCCAACAUUAACGGGAGAUGCUUGUUGAAGUAGGUUAUUCAAGUUGAAGUUAACAAACAUCAAUACUUAGGGUUAAGAGGAAAGUGAGUUAUGUAACACAAUUUGGAUUAUUUCAUUGCGAGACGAAUGAUUUAUAGGUUCUCCUAGUUUUAUGACGUCACAAGUAGGCCGGAGUAAUUUUUGGGGCAUUUUUACGAUUUUCCUACUAUUUUUUACCUAGUUUCAAAGAUUUUUGAACAAAAGAAUCCAAAAUGUAAAAGAAGAUGACACCUGGCGCGAUCUCAGCCCGUCACUUUUCACUACUUGCACAAGUGUACGUCAGUCAACAUGGCCACAUCCUCUCAUUUUACCCUAAAUUAUUAUUUUAUUACGUUUUGUCUUGGAAAAUUCAUAACUAAAUACACAAAAAUUCAAAAUUAUUUCUGAAAAUUGCUACGAACUCAUUGACACUCCAUCUCCGUUGCUGAAUUCUCCGAUUCAUUGUUACGCAUUUUUAAAAUUAAUUCCCAACAUUAACGGGAGAUGCUUGUUGAAGUAGGUUAUUCAAGUUGAAGUUAACAAACAUCAAUACUUAGGGUUAAGAGGAAAGUGAGUUAUGUAACACAAUUUGGAUUAUUUCAUUGUGAGACGAAUGAUUUAUAGGUUCUCCUAGUUUUAUGACGUCACAAGUAGGCCGGAGUAAUUUUUGGGCCAUUUUUACGAUUUUCCUACUAUUUAUUACCUAGUUUCAAAGAUUUUUGAACAAAAGAAUCCAAAAUUAACAAGAAUAUGACACCUGGCGCGAUCUCAGCCAGUCACUUUUGACUACUUGCACAAGUGUACGUUACCGAACAUGGCCACAUCCUCCCAUUUUACCCUAAAUUAUUAUUUUAUUACCUUUUUUCUUGGAAAAUUCAUAACUAAAUACACAAAAAUUAGAAAAACGAUCCGAAAAUUUCUACGAACUUAUUGCGAUUUCAUCUUCCUACUGCAUUCCCUGUUUAAUGGUUAUGCUACAUUAGUAUUUUAUUAUUAUUUAUCCACAAUUAUUAUAAUUAUUAUGAUAUUACUUUUUAGGCUGUCCAUUUGUUAAUUAUACCACAUCCAACUUGUUGAAAACAAUUUUAUUUUCCGUGCGAAUAGGCCAUUUGUAGUGCUUAUCGGUUUCUCUGUUCUUCAAUUUGUUAAUUUUUUUAUUUUUUAGGUUGAAGGGAUGUUUUGAAACAUAAUAUGGAAAUAUACAAGUCAUCCAUUGUACUCCUUCCACACAAAAAAAUAGUCUACGUCAUUCACUGUUCAACACCCUAGGUUAAGACACGUGUAACCAAAUCCGUUCGGAUAUGCUAAGUGGGAAAAUGUCAUUCCCAAGCACUGGUGAAAAGACACUUAUUUACUCCAUGCAUGACUUUUGGUUUACCAAAUAUGAAGAUUGGGGUCGGUGAGCAAAAUAUCUGUGUCAGUAAAAUGUCAUUCCUAGCCAUCUAUGAUGUAAGUAAUAAUUCCGCUAUAUAAUAAAUAUUAUACAUUUAUAUAUAAAACGGUUUAUGACAAAAUACCAACAUUUGAACAACAUUUAAACUGAGAUAGGUAUAACGUAGCCAGCCAACCUAGAAGUGAAGAGAAGCAAGUCCACAAUGCAUCAAAACUGUAAAUUCGUACUAAAACUAAUGCAAAAAUACGUGAUUCCCUCGCACAACUUACUCACGCAGGAUUUUGCACCAAAAAAUACUCUCACGGUGCCAUUUGCAUCGGUUGCAGCAAGUCCAAAACGCAGGAUUUAUCUUGUCUUCACUAGGCCACCCUGGAAUAACAAAAUACCAUUCAUUGUUGUUACAAGCGCUGCACCGAUUGAACUUAAUCUUCCCAUAGUCAAACAUAUCUACGAUAUGUCUUGCAACAAAUGCUCCGCGACAUCUUCCUGUUAAAGCAUCCCUGGUUCCUUUCAUAUCAAUGUUGUUACGUUGAUUCAAAGAACACAAGAAUUGUAAUGCAUCCUCUUUUGACUGACCAAUUCCGGACAUACCAAGUAGUCCAACUACAUAUGCCGCUUCCAUAUGGCCUGCCGUGGCUGCAAUGCGCAUCCCAUACAACGCUUCCACCUUACCGUCUGUGAAAAAACCUUCGAAUGCUUCUCUAAAUAUGGACUCAGGGUUAUCGCAAGCCCUGCAUUGUUGCAAGAAAUGCUGGACUGCAGGUUUGGCACGGUAGCAGAUAGGAUGGUGUGGGUACUUUGCCAUUGAAAUGGUGUUCCACACUUGUGGACUGUUUGCCAAAAUGUUGAACAAUCGGCACACACAUGCCAUACGGAAGAGAUCUUCCGAUGAUUCGGUUGCCACGUAUAACAUCACUUGAAACCAAGCGGACUCCGGGAUAAAGGCUUCGGGCAUAUCGAAAUGGAGAUGCUUCCUUCUCUUUCCUCCGACUGUAGUGAAGUGUUUCGAAUUCAUUGAAAAGUUUUUGGAAUGGAACGAUUUGAGGAGUGGCAGAGGGGAUAAAUGAUAAUAUUUGGGGUACACGUUCUACUUCCGAGCCUCUGUUUAUAGUGUUUUGAAAAGGUGUUUCCAGUUGGGGUUUUUCCAAGUUGACCCUUUUGAAAGAAACUGAAUCCAAGUGAAUUAAAACUUAAGACAAAAGAAGGGAAAACGUCAUAACGGUGCAUACAGAGUCAGACAGUUAAAAAGUUAAUUAAAUGGCUAUUUGCAUAGCCAUUUUUGGGUUUAUCCCACUAUCAAAUUCAUUGAUACAAAUGUGAUGGAUUACUGACUAGUGACAGAAGGUCCCAUCAUAUACUUUUUCAUUUUCGCACACCCAACUAUCCCUAGUAAUGUUAUUAAAAUGGAACCAAUAAUGACGGAUUCUUAUCCAACUAGUUGCCUUAAUGAAAUAUAAAUAAAUUAAUAAAAUUGAAGCAGUGUCCCGUCAUUAGUCAGAAAAUAUAUUUGGUAGUGAAGUAGUUUCUAUUGCUUUUCGGGCUAAAAGAUGUCACAAUGCUGACGGUACAGGUGUCGACAUCGUGACCAACCCACCAAAUGAUCCCAAAAAAAAGUAAUAUAACUCGAUUUGGGCAGAGAUGAGAGAGAGCUGAGUGACAAGUUUAGGGUUAUGAGUGAAGGGGUAUGAAUGACAACUAUGAGUGAGAAGGUAUGAGUCCGAAGAGGUUUCAGUGAGAAGAUUUGAGUGAGAAGAGGUACAACUGAGAAGAUUCAACAUGUCUUCGUCUUCAUCUCCUGCUCAAACAAAGAGGUGUCAGUAUUGUGGAGCUACAAUGGUGCUUCGGGUUUCAAAAUCUGAAAAAAAAUCGAGGGAAGCCAUUCUGGAAGUGUCUAACCUCCUAUGUAAGUUUUAAUUUAAAGAAUAUGUAUGUGGGUGAAAAAAAACCUAUGUCUAACUCUGACAGAAUUAUAUUCCAUAUAUGAUGCCUGCAAUUAGGGAGCCACCAGUUGCAAUGGAUUCGAAUGGGUUGAUGUAACCUCCGCUGAAGCAGAACAUCAAGAUGACACGUAUGAUGUUAGAGUGCUGAACAUGCUGAAGUCCAUUAAGGACUUGGUAUUAGUUUUAUUAGUUGUAUUAAUUGUCAUUUUAUUUGUUCUUUUAAUGAUCAUUUAACUGCACGGUUUAAAAGAUUGUGAAAGUUCUCUCGCACAAGACAUAUUGCACGCACCACCAAUGAGACCCUAAACCCAUUUUGUAAUAUUUGGUAACUGCAUGUAUUUCGCAUGUUAUUGAAUGUUUAUUGAAGGUUUAUUGAUAGUUUGCUGCAUGUAUAUGGAAUAUCAUUGCCCCAAAAUUGGAUGUUUAUUGGGGCCACAAGUAUCACUCAAGUAAGAAUGAAGGGGAGAAACGGACCUUAUUCUUUCUUAUAGUAGGAAGAACAACUGUUAAGUUUAAUAUCCUAUUCAAUACGACUUCCCUAUGGUUGGUGUACUUGGGGACUGAAGUAUAUUGCAUCAUUAUUGUGGGCAAGGGCAUGUCUAUUGUGUGUGUUAAGGGAGUAUUGUGUGGGCAAGGGCAUGUCUACUGUGUGUAUAUUGCAUGUCUACUGUGUGUAUAUUGCAUAUCUAUUCUCUGUAUAUGGCAGGCCAAGUUUGUGUAUAUUGUUUGUCUGUUGUGUGUGUAUUGCUUGUCGGUGCGUUUGUGAAUUGUGGUUCAUUUUGUGUAUAUUGUCUUUGUUUCUACUUUUAUGCUACUGAGCUGCGGAAAACCUCGCAUGUUUAGACACCUAUUAUGAUGCAACACAUUGCGAUUAAUGGUGGCUUGCAUCAACAAUGACAUAUCACUUUGCAAUGAUGUAAUACACUUAAAAAGCCGUCUUCAAAUCCCAAUUCACAUAUGCAGUCUUAAAAUUCUAAUUCAAUGCAGUUUGGUUAACAAACAUGUAAAUGUCAUGAAGGAGUUAGCGGUAGAAUUCGAUAAGGACCCGUACGUCUCUAUUGUGUAUUUACAUUAGUUUGAGAAUGGACAUUCCCAAAACCUUCUCAUGUACCAUUUGUCAUCUUCAACCAAUAUCAUGGGAAGUAAGCAUCUCCCCUUGUUAUCUCCGCAGCCAAUUUCAACCGAAAAAAAGGCAUGUUGUGCGAGGUGCAAGUAGCUAACGGAAGCUUAGCGCUGAAAAGCUCAAUGUACUUUAACACAAACAUGCCACAAUCGCCUCUGAAGCAAAACAAGAACUCGAUCAAUUCAACUAAUGACAUUCUAAUGUAAUUGACAAUUGAAAGUAAUAAAAUUAAAUUGCAAGUUGUGCUUACUCAUUAGACUGUUGUGGAACAUCCACACGCUCUAUUGGCCACGGACACCACCAAUCUCGGCUGCAAUUGUUUGCAUAAACACCUUCUUCAUAAAAGUCGAUGGUGUUGAGAAGAUUUGGAAGCGUAAUUGAUAGCGGGCCGAGUUCUUCCUUUACGAUGUCAUCUGGAAUUAGUGAAACCUUUGAAUCGUACACUUUGAUUCACACAAUACCAGAUCAAACANNNNNNNNNNNNNNNNNNNNNNNNNNNNNNNNNNNNNNNNNNNNNNNNNNNNNNNNNNNNNNNNNNNNNNNNNNNNNNNNNNNNNNNNNNNNNNNNNNNNNNNNNNNNNNNNNNNNNNNNNNNNNNNNNNNNNNNNNNNNNNNNNNNNNNNNNNNNNNNNNNNNNNNNNNNNNNNNNNNNNNNNNNNNNNNNNNNNNNNNNNNNNNNNNNNNNNNNNNNNNNNNNNNNNNNNNNNNNNNNNNNNNNNNNNNNNNNNNNNNNNNNNNNNNNNNNNNNNNNNNNNNNNNNNNNNNNNNNNNNNNNNNNNNNNNNNNNNNNNNNNNNNNNNNNNNNNNNNNNNNNNNNNNNNNNNNNNNNNNNNNNNNNNNNNNNNNNNNNNNNNNNNNNNNNNNNNNNNNNNNNNNNNNNNNNNNNNNNNNNNNNNNNNNNNNNNNNNNNNNNNNNNNNNNNNNNNNNNNNNNNNNNNNNNNNNNNNNNNNNNNNNNNNNNNNNNNNNNNNNNNNNNNNNNNNNNNNNNNNNNNNNNNNNNNNNNNNNNNNNNNNNNNNNNNNNNNNNNNNNNNNNNNNNNNNNNNNNNNNNNNNNNNNNNNNNNNNNNNNNNNNNNNNNNNNNNNNNNNNNNNNNNNNNNNNNNNNNNNNNNNNNNNNNNNNNNNNNNNNNNNNNNNNNNNNNNNNNNNNNNNNNNNNNNNNNNNNNNNNNNNNNNNNNNNNNNNNNNNNNNNNNNNNNNNNNNNNNNNNNNNNNNNNNNNNNNNNNNNNNNNNNNNNNNNNNNNNNNNNNNNNNNNNNNNNNNNNNNNNNNNNNNNNNNNNNNNNNNNNNNNNNNNNNNNNNNNNNNNNNNNNNNNNNNNNNNNNNNNNNNNNNNNNNNNNNNNNNNNNNNNNNNNNNNNNNNNNNNNNNNNNNNNNNNNNNNNNNNNNNNNNNNNNNNNNNNNNNNNNNNNNNNNNNNNNNNNNNNNNNNNNNNNNNNNNNNNNNNNNNNNNNNNNNNNNNNNNNNNNNNNNNNNNNNNNNNNNNNNNNNNNNNNNNNNNNNNNNNNNNNNNNNNNNNNNNNNNNNNNNNNNNNNNNNNNNNNNNNNNNNNNNNNNNNNNNNNNNNNNNNNNNNNNNNNNNNNNNNNNNNNNNNNNNNNNNNNNNNNNNNNNNNNNNNNNNNNNNNNNNNNNNNNNNNNNNNNNNNNNNNNNNNNNNNNNNNNNNNUUUUCCUCUCCCUCAUCUCUAUUAUUUGGCCCUUCACCCCCUUCAAUCCCUUCAUCUUCUUUUUCCUCUCCCUCAUUUCUGUUACUUGGCCCUUCAUCCCAUUGAAUGUCAUCCAUUUCCCCAUAUCCCUUAAAUAGAUGUGAGACGACACAACGAUUCGUCCUCUGUUUCAGUAAAGCUAGGUCCCUCCUUACUUCCUGCUCAAACUGAGGACCUAAACAUUGGUCCAAUAGUUUUUCCAUCCGUAUGACCUUUAAGUGAAGGACGUCUUUUUCCCGCUUUUCUUGAAACAACUCGGACCUCAACAAGCUUACCACCUUGUUCAACUCAUCAAGAUCACCACAUGAAGAAGGAAUUGACUCUGCCGAGACAACAGCAGGGCGAUCCUGUGGCCAACUCCAAUAUGGCUGUCUCAUUUCCUCUUCACUUAGACAUAGCGCCCGCAACUGAACUGACUGUUUCAGAAUACAGACAAGAGUCAUAUUAAAUCAUUCUACUUCAUAAUUUCAUUCAAUCUUAUCAAUAGUUCUAAGGGCUGCAAACCAAACCUCUUUGCUCUGGAAAAAAUAAUUGUUCAACUUUCUCAUCUCUGGAACAGACGUAGUAGUUCUCCAUCGCAAAAUACGCGGGACAGCGGUCGGAUCAACAACCUUGCAGUAAUUCAGGUCCGCCAUUCUAGGAAUUAAUUCAUAUACCCAAAUCUACACAAUUCACAGGACAAAAGUCAUUAUUUAUGUUUUAAAGAAAAACAAAACAUAACUGACAUGAACAUUAUUACCAUGUACCUGGAAAGCAUACGUGAAACCUUUAAAACUCCAGCCACUCCUUUGCGCUUCACUAUGCUUAUCCUUCUUGCCCUUCUCAUUUCUCCGGCUUGUUCCCGUUACCUUACUUUUCCCCUUCCCUCUUCCCUCUUCAUUUUCCAAGCUUUUCACAUACUUUGUUGGUGCAGAAAAUAGACUGUCUUGGGUUUUGUCAAAGGACACCGAACCCCACGGAUACCUGUUGAACGCAUCCAAGUCCUCUACAAGGGUCAGGUAAUUUAGAUUGAUGUUCAAAUGUUUGUCCCUUCCCAAAACCACUAACUCAGCAAAGUAAACAAGAGGUAGCUUGAAGAUGUCAUCUUCCUCUGUGCACCUCACAAAUGCUUCUUCUAAAGCAUUGCAUGUAAUUCCUUCGUCUAUAAAAUAUCUUUUCUGAAGUCUGAUUUCAUUACUCUCUCCACUGGAAACUUCAGGCACUUCCCCAAAACGAAGCCCUGUGAUCAAACAGAAAUCCUGACGAGUGAACUGAGCAACGUCACACCCUAAUAAGAAACUCAGUCCAUCCAAGUCUUUCACACCCUGCCCCGCUACUCUACGCAACACAACCCCAUGCACAAUCUGUCCGCUAAACUGAAUCUUAUCUAUAUUCAGAAGAUGGCCAAAGCAUGAUGUCUUGAAUUGUUCUAAUUGUUCCGCACUCAACUUCGCUCGAAUUGCAGCUAGAGAUGAAUUUGCAUGUGAGCAGUUGUUCACCCGUGAUGAAUAUACCUCUGCCUCUGGCCAUACCAGCUCCACGUUGGAUCCCAUUUCCUCAAAUACAAUGUGAAAUAACGUGAACAUAUAUACUACCACGUAUUUGCACAAUCACAACUAGUCAACCAGGCACAUUACAACUUUUACAAAGUACAUGAGCAUAUGGAUUACUCAUCACAGGCUUUAACAUCAUCAAAGCAAUAUGACAAUUUUUGUGCAAAUACCUGUUAAUGCAAUGAUUAUGUGAAUUACAAACAAUUUCACGUGUUUUAUUUAUGGAUCCAUACUCGUGUGAGUGCAAUGUAGGCAAGUUCUGCACUUCACACACAUGACAAUUAUUGUCAUCUCAUACACAACCCAAAAUAAAUAAAUAAGAAAUAUAGUGGAAGGAAGCAAAGCAAAGCAUGUACUCUGCUAUCUGCUUGCUAAGCAAUUGCCACAUCCUUCUUUCUUUCUACCUUUUUCUUCAGUCACCCACAAUCGUCAUAGAUCAACCUUCAUUUCAAAUGCUUUGCACUUUUAUUCAUGAGUUUAUUAUUAUCUGUUCUCAUUUCUCAUAGGCAAAUUUAGUAACAAAUGAAAUAAUAUUUAUUUCACAAAAUAUAUAAAUUCUAGUGCCAGAGAGGUACUCUUCACUCUGCACUGCUUCAAAUGUGGAAGGUUUUGAGAUGUUAUUGACAUGUGAUUGACUUUAUUUUCAUUCGUUUUUUAACAUAUACCCAAGCAAAAAUUAACAUGCAAUUGAAGCACAAAUAAGAGAUGCCAAAUCCAACAACAUUGAUGGUACAAAUUGGGGAAAACCAUUACUCUAACCCUAAACUCAAAUUCCUUACAUUACUCAUCAAAUGCUUUGCAGUUCUAUUCAUGAGUUUAUUAUUAUCUGUUCAAAUGUUUCUCAGGCAAAUUUAGUAACAAAGGAAAUCAUAUUUACUUCAUAAAAUAUAUAUAUAUAUAUAUAUAUUCUAGCGCCUCUUCUUAAUCUGCACUAUGCACUGCUUCAAAUGUGGAAGGUUUUGAGGGCCUCCUCCAAUUCAACACCAUUAUCUUAUUCAUAUCAUUAUUGACAUGUUAUUCACUUGUUAUUGACUUCAUUUUCAUUCUUUUUUUAACAUAUACCUAAGCAAAAAUUAACAUGCAACUGAAGCACAACGAAGAGAUGCCAAAUCCAACAAAAUUUAUGGUACAAAUUGGGGAAAACCAUUACUCUAACCCUAAACUCAAAUUCCAUAAAUUACUCACCAAAUGCUGGUUAUUGCAAGGUGUCUGUGUGGGGUCUUUCUGUUUCUUUGCUCCACAAAUGGAACCUACCACUUCCAACGAAUACAGCUUUUCCCCUUCCCCUUCCACUGCUUCGCCUCUUCACUGAUUUGGAAUCCACACCUUUGCCCCUUCUACUCCAAAUAAAUACUUUCUCGGGGUCUGGAGAACGGAGUGGCGAAUCGUUGCCUUCAACUGUCGUUAGCCGUUGCCUUCAUUGGGUAUCUCAGACCUCUGUGUUUUAGAGAGAUGAGUUCUUUCUGUUCAAACUUCGAACUUGCCUCUUCUUCUUCUUUUUCGGACGUGUUUCCCUCUUCUUCUUCUUUUUGGACGUGCUGGAUAUUCAAUUCGGGUUUGGGUUCCUUACCUACCCAAUUGUGAAACUUUAACUCAAUUCUCCCCAGCCCUUGGAUUAAUCUGAUGGCUAUAAAGUGAACCCCUUAUAACUUACCCCUUAUAACUUUCCACUCAUUAUAGUCUUGGCCAGGUAUGGCGGCCAUGCUAGUAAGUGUUGGGUCUUUGACCCAACUUAAGCUAAAUGGGUCAUAAGAUGACCGAUCAUCUUAUCUCAUAAGGAUAUAUAAGUCAUGUUAUGAUUUAGGAUUUUAUAGGGUUUCCUUUGUAAGAGGUAAGAGAGAAACAAGCUCUCUCUCUCUCUACACAAGGAGGUCAGCCAUAGCAAGGGAAAGGCUCCUAGCACUCUCCUCUCUCUUAUUAUAUCAUCCUUCCAAGGACAGCUUUGGUAUGGUAAAGUUGGAGGUUGCACACUUUGUGCACUUUGGUAAGAACUCAUCCAAGGGAGCCAAGAUUAAAUUGGUUAGCUGUUGGAUUAAAUUGGUUAGCACGAUUCAACGGUUAAUAGAUAAAACUUCACAUAAAAGUCAUAUAUAAGGCCCUCACUAUAGAAUGACUCGUUAGUUUAGUCUCUUGUUACAUAUCAAAUGUUAGAGAUAUUUUUUAAUAAGGAUCUGCCAUACCACAUAGUUGGAUAAGACAUUAUACACGGCUUUUGUAAGAGCAUCUCCAGCGCUCCAAACUAGCCCAAGCAGCAGGGGGGCCUAAGUCUAGGAAGCAGCUCCAGCUCGCAAGAUUCAACCCAGGCAAGGUGUGGAACCCACGAGGAGAUCUAGCCCGUCACCUUGCCUUUGGGUUUCAGUCAAGCUGAUGUCAACGAAAGAAUUUCAAAUUUUUUUUACCGUUACAAUGUACGCGCCAACGAUAAAUUUUCUUUGGAUUUCUUGCAUUGAUCCACAGCUACCAAAAACCAACAGCUACAAGCCACGUGGCUUCUCCAGGAGCCUCCGAUCCAAAAAUCAUGUCAAAUCUAACGGCAGUCCAUUUUUUGGCUAAAAAUAUCAAAAAAUUAUGGAAACAUGUUCUAUAAAUUCCUACAAAUAUUAUUCACUUCCCACACCAAAUCUUCAUACAAAUUCAUAUCCUUUCAAUAUUUUUCACUUUCCAUACAAGAUUUUCUACUACUAAGUUUCGUUUGUGUAAAAAUACAAAUGACCUCUUCUAUCGAAGCCGGAGGCGCGUGUACAACCGUGGAAGAUAUUUUGUUGCGUGAGUGUUGGGUCAAAGUUGGUCAUUCCCUGAUCACGGGCAAUGAGAUGAAGUCCUCUCGUAGGAGUUUCUGACAUCGCAACGAAAGUAAGAUGUGAUAUGAAAAUGUAAGGAAUUUGAUGAGAGGAAUGGGAUUUGAGGAGUUUGAUGUAGGAAUUGAUGUAGGAAUUGAAUUUGGGAGGUAUGUAUAUAAGAUUUGAGGGUAUGUGUUUAGGGAUUUUGAUAAGAGGAUUUGAGGAAUUUAGAUUUGAAGGAUUUGGAUUUGGGGAAUUUAAAUAUGAGGAAUUUGAUUAGGGUUUGGGUUUGAAUAUGUGAAAUUUGAUAUGAGAGUUUAGAGACAACAGAUGAUCGAUUGCUCUGAUACCAUGCUAAAAUAUGAUAUGGUUUGAAUACUUUAGGUUGAGUUUUAUUCUUUUCCAUAAAAAGGUAUAUAUAGGAGUUUACAUGAGUGCUUUACAAAGAAAUAGAUACAAUAAUCAAUUAGGAUAAUAUCUCCUAAUUAUACAAUAAUUUGUCAACUAUAUAGAAUAGGAAAGUAAAUUCCUUAAUUAAUCAAGAAAAUAAAUCUCAUUGAUUAAUUAGGAGACUAACGUCAACAUUUAUAAGCCAUAAAAGAGCAGAAAAAGAGGUACUUAGGAGAUUUUAUACGUCGGACUAAGGUAAGCUUAAAGGACUAUAUCAAAAAAAUAAGGGACCAAGAAGCAAGACAGAGAAGUUGUUAUGCAAACCCAUUAAGUUUAGCAGUGAUGAAUUUGUAAAAAUCAUUCUAGUGGAUUCUGCCUUCACUAUUGAGUUCUUAUUGAGGUUCUAUCUGAAAGGAUCUGGACAUGAAGGAGACCGCUUAUUAAACAAACCGUGGAUGUUUACAGCCUGACAUGUGGUUGCUUGAAAAUCAGCUCCCAUUCUUUAUUCUUGAGGAUCUUUAUCACACAUACAUAAUAACCGACUCUUUUAGGAAUUAUUACAGUACUCAUGAUCAUGAGAGGCUUUCAAUAAUUAAUAUUUCUAAGAAUUUCUUCACAGCCGGAAUAUUGAAUUUGGAGGGGAAGGGAGACAAAUGGAACAGAAUAUCAUCUUCUUCUAGUGUUGGAAAUUUUAUAUUAUUUAAUAAUAUUUAAUUUCUAUUGUGAAUGAAAAAUAAGUUUCUUUAAGAAACGUGUGUCUUAGGCCAGUUUUUCUAACUGGUCGGCUUCCUUAGAUUUGUGCCUAUUGCUUUUCAAAGUAUAAUGAUGCAAUGGUUGUAUCUCGUUCAGGCAAAUGGAAGGUAUAUAGCAAUUUAUAGAACAAUACAGUAAUCCAGAAGAAAUAUUAUGAAAUGAAAAGAAUAAAAAGUAAAAAAAGAGAAAGAAAGGAAUUCCCACCUGCAAUGUAUAUGUAUGAAAGGAAGGACCAAGUUUGUUUUAAAAUGGUAAGAACAAGUUGAUUUUAAAUUGGGUUCAGAUCAACUCAUAGAUUUCUUGCCUUUUCUGUUCUCCUUCCUUGGACAUGAACUGUUUAAUCUUGGACUCUUCCCCAUCAUGUUGGGCCUGUCUUCUUCUUGAGGAUUGUAUAGGCCUAGGAAAUGCUUCGGGGUAGUUUUUGUGUUUUGGGCAUUGGGACCCAACUUCACAAAAAGAAAACAAAUUUGACCAAAACACAAAUUUGAAGGACAUUGAAAUUGUACCCGUAGGAUAGAUUAAAACACUAUAAGGGAGGUAAAUAGUACGUUUACAGAGUUUAAGUGUAAUAAAGGAAUAAAAACAUGCCCAGAGAAUUGAUAAGUGAUAUCAAUUCUUGAAUAUACGUGAAAAUUAUUUUAUGUGGUUAAACCCCACCUCUGGGGAAAAUCCACGGAACUUCUUAGUCCAACUUCUAUCACUUAUCCUAGACACAUUCUAGAUAAUGUUUGCCAACCUCUUCGUAACUCAACUUCUGUCACGAGAUGAUCUUUCAACACUUUAUGUCGAACGCAAUACUGGUCACGAUUUCUUCAAGCUCGCCGGAGUUCUUCCAAUUCUCCUUAUAUUGAAUCUGAUACUAGUCACGAUCGAUUCAAGCUCAUCGGAGAAAAAUCGCCACAACAAUCUUGGUGCCCUCAACCGUAUGAGUCACUGAACAUGCAAAUGAAUACAAUAUGAAUGAUAAAAGUGUUUGAUAAAUCACCAAGUUAUGGAACACUUGAUGAUUUAUCUCAAAUAAAAAUUCAGCUUUCCAAAGUUUAUGAAUUGAAAAUAUGACCGUUAAAGCUCUCUAAACAAAGAAGACGAAGGUCUUAUUUUAUAGACUUUUACUUUACAAGAAAGAAAACACGUUGAAAACCAAAUCUCCAAUUUCCAAGGCUUGACAGAAAAUCACAAAAUUAUCUUUCCUAUUCUAGAGAUUGGUCACAUGAAGUCCAACCAAUAGGAAAUGAGAUAUUUAAGAAAGGAAGAUUUUGAUCAAUAUCAAUAUCAAAUGAAUUCUUAUACGCCUAGUCAAUUGUUAUGGGUAUCUUGACUCCUUGAUAUUGUGAUAUGAUUGAAACAUGAUUUCCACGUUAGAAAAUUAAGGGGAUGUUAAAACAUGAAGGUAAUAGGAGAAUCAAAUUGAUUUGGGCCAAAAUUGCCUAAAAAGAAAACACUCCUUAAUAAACUUCAAUUUACUUUUAAAAAUAGUAAAACGUGAUUGAAUCGUUCUUUAAAACAAUUCCCUAAUAUACAUGCAUGAUAGUGAUAUCACUUACCUUUGAAUCAGAUGGCUUUCACGGGUCAAGCCACAAGUUUUUGUCUUGGGGAUUGCUGAGCUUCAUCAAUCCUGCCAAUGUCAAUUUUGCCCCUAAGCUCUCUCAAAGCACGUUUACAACCUAUGCUAACAUAUAUUAGAGUUUAUGUUAGUAUCAAGAAAAUGCCAACACUAAUUUCGUAACACGUAGAAAUUGUUAGAGAUUGAAGUUUUUAUCAUUUUUUCUUCCAGACUCUCCACCACUCACUAAUAUAGUUUACUCAUGUGAUGAGUUUACAAAACCUAUUUCUCUACUCUCACAAAGACUAUACUUAGGGGGGUGUAUUCAAUUAGGAUUCUAAAGCGUUUAAAAAGAUUUUGUUUAAGUGCCAGCUUUCAUAGAACUUGAUGGAACUUUAUAAUUCGUAUAGAACUUGAUAGACUUUCAGAAGACUUCUGUAUAAUUUUUUAAUAAAACUUUCUUAAGCUUUCAUAGAACUUGAUAGGCUUUCAUUCCAAACUUAUGUAGAUGGUAUAUUUCAUUUUAUCCCCAUCCUUGACAUUUAAAGAAAGAAACUUGAAUUUUUUCAAUCAAAUUUGUUUUUGUUACCAAAGCAGCAAAAACAAAAAGUACUUGUUUGCGAUGGAAGAACAUAUGCACAGUUCAAAAUGAAAAGAAUAAGAAGCAAAGUACCUAUUUGACCAAUGAAUGCUGUGUCAACUAGAGAAGCAAUUGGAUCGGCUGUCAAAGCCAAUGCUGCAGGCAAUGCAUCGAUGGUCCAAAUUGCAAUAAAAAAAUAUUUUGAAUAAUGGCUCUUGCAGACAAAGACCACAUAAAUUCUGAACUGGUCUAGCUUGAAUAAUAAGGUUAGAUUAGCCAAUUGAUGAGAUUAAAAGCAAAGCAAGUUGAUGAAUUUAUCAUCAACUAUUUAAUAACCACAGUCCUGAUCUCUUGGACCCCUGUAGUCCAAGAGAUUUAUGGUCACCCACCGUUGGAUGUAAAUUCAACGGUUGACUUGAAUCGGGUAAUAAUCAUUUAUGUCAUAUUGCAUUUAUAUAUAUCAUUUUGAACCAUUGGAUUAAUAUCCAACGGUGGGUGACCACAAUCUCUUGGACUCCUGUGGUCCAAGAGAUCGGGACUGUUAAUAACCAAUAGAGUAUUUAAACAUAAACAACAAUGUUUGAUCAACAAAACAAAUAGUCCAAAUAUCAUCCAAAAAACAAUAACAAAAAAUCAAUCAUUCCAAACAAACUAGUCAUUCUCAAAAACUCUCAAAAAACCCACUCAUUCCAAAUUGUAGGAUAUCCAAUUUGAGCACUCCUCAGGAGACAUUUUCAAAAAUGCAUCCUUUUUUGUGUUACUAUGCAACAAAGAGAGUGCUUUAUAACGAGCAUGUUCAUCCAAAUUUGGGGUCUCCUUAAUGGCAUCCCAUAUAUAACUCCGCUGCUCUCUCUCUUUUUCCCUUUUUGCCAAUAGGUUAUGGACCUCCCGGAAGUCGAUGACAAUUGAAUCAAUGCUAAGGCUAAUUCUUCCCAUAGCUUGCUGGGUGGUCACAUUUGAGAUAGCAUUCCCUUCCAAAUAUGUUCUAGUUCGUUUCCUCUAGUAACAAGCAUAAAUCCUAGUAACAAGCAUAAACCCUAACCCCAACCUAUAACCUAAUAACAAGAAGAAAACCCAACGAGGUAUUGAUCAAAGAAAAAUUAGGGAGCAUACCUUCACAGAUGGAGGAAGGAAGCUGUUCGUCUUCGCAGAGAGAAAAUCUAGGGAAAGAGAAAAACGUCUUAUGAAAUACUUGGGGGGGAGGUUGGAUUUAUUUUGGUCUUUUUUAUUUAUAACUCUCCCCUUAAAACCUACGUAAAUUUAUCACUUAAUGAAAUCCUUCCAAAUAUAUGACCUUUCGAAUACACCUAGAUUUGAUUCAACUUUUUUAUAAUCAUAAUUGAAUACACCCAUAUUUGAAUGGACUUUUUAAAAGUUCAUAUAGGUCCGAAAUGAAUAUACUCAAACUUGUAAAACCUCUUUUAAAGUUUGUAUAAAUCCAAAUUGAAUACACCUGGAUUUUUAAAAUCUUUUUAAACACUUUAUAAUCCUAAUUGAAUACACCCCCCUUAUUCUCAAAAGACUAUAUUACUUUACCUCUAUCUCUGUGAAAUGUAAAAAGUUGAAACUUUAAUGUCAAACCUCAACAAAAGAUGAACUUUCAUCAGUUACGUUGAAUUUGGAUUUGUUGAACUUAAGUGGUUUUAUUUUCUUUGUCAGUGUUUGAUGACUUAAUUUGGUAUUUAUUUCUUCUUUUUUUUCCUUGGAAAUGUGUUCCACCAACGUGAGGAAGAAAAAUAUGCACAAAUUAAUAUAUUUAAUAGAAGCCCAAGAUUUCGGAUGCAUAUAAUUUCUACAAAAAUCUACAAAGUUUUUUACUUUACAAACUUCUUAUGUCUACCAAUUUCUACUAAAAUUAAUUUCUCUGUGGUGCUCAAAUUCAUCAUAUGUGUGUCGUUAAUUUUAUUGAAAAUUGGAAGUUCCCAUCAUUUUUGUUUUUUGGGAAUUUUCUGAACCAAGGAAAAUCAAGUAAAAUUAAUAAAGCCUAAAUUGGAAAGGGAAAAUAUCUAGAGGAUGCAUUGUAGGAUUGCUCAUGCCAAUAAUUGUACCCUCUAAAUAUAUAGAGACAUAUUUUUUUUGUUUUCAUGACAUGUGGUCCUAAAAUUAUUGUGUAAAUCUUCAAUCCUGAACGAUGCACCUAAAACUCAUCCACCCAUUCUCAGGCCAAUUAUUGCACCUAGUGGGCUCUCGACCCCCUCUCAAAUUUAACCACAUAUUUUAUGGACCAUCCAGCUGUGAGGUACAUUCCCCCCACAUGCCACAAUUGUAUAUUCACAAUUACGUCUGAUACAUCACAUCAUGCCACUUGCCUCAAAUGAAUUUAAGUGAGUGAGGCAGUUGGAAGUAAUUAAGCUCUAUAUUGGUGGGUGGAGUGUUACUUCUCGGUUCCCCUCAUCAUUCGUCUAUAAAAUGGUGAAGGCAGUUGCUAUUGUUACCAUAAGAGCCAGCUCCGACUUCCUUUAAUUUCUUGCUUCAUAUCCACUAGCUACAUCUGUUACCAAGUUAAUUUCAGUUCUAAUGGGGUUUCAUCUCCCACUCAUCUUUGCUCUUCUCAGUGUAAGCUCUGCAAUUUGAUUAACUUUUCCAUUCUCUCUCAUUGUACUCUAUAUAAACGAAAGUUUUGUGUUCCUAUUGUUCUCUCCGAUUUUAUUUAGUACGUACUUAAGUGUCGUCCACUAAUUAAUUAUACUUUGUGAUUUGAUUUUAAUUUGAGUUUGAAUUAAUGUUGCAGCUAGCAGCAGUGGCACUGGCAAACCAUGCUGCUCAACCAGCACCUCAACUUUACUGGAGCUCCGUCCUGCCAAACACACAGAUGCCAAGAUCUAUCAGUGAACUUCUGCAUCCUGGUUUGUGUUGAGCUCUUUAGAAUCUUAGAUAUCUCUUCUACCUGCCAUUUUACUAAAAUAUGUUCCACCACAUAUUUAUCAGUUAACCAUUGUCAUUACAUGAGUGACACAUAUUCACAAAUCGGCUGAUCACUUAUUUUCCAUUAUGACUUGAUAUAUAAUUUGCAGACUCCACAAAUGAAGAAAAGAGCACAAAUGACGUUGGCAAACCUGAAACUUUCCCAUUGGGCAAUCAACAUUACUCCAGUCAAAAACAUUAUGGAGGCAUACCUGAAACUUCCCCAUUGGGCAAUAAACAUUACUCCAGUCAAAAACAUUAUGGAAGAGGCAAACCUGAAACUUUCCCAUUGGGCAAUCAGCAUUACUCCAGUCAAAGACAUUAUGGAAGAGGCAAACCUGAAACUUUCCCAUUGGGCAAUAAACAUUACUCCAGUCAAAAACAUUAUGGAAGAGGCAAACCUGAAACUUUCCCAUUGGGCAAUCAGCAUUACUCCAGUCAAAAAAAGUAUGGAAGAGGUGCUUCUCCAUCCGACAAUCAACAACUCCAUUAUAAAGACUUAGCUAUUUUCUUCUUGGAGAAGGACAUGCGCCCUGGCACAACAAUGAAGUUCCAAUUCC
rnacentral:lncRNA from 1 species